rnacentral:lncRNA from 1 species
ACCUCUUAAAAGACUACCUCGUUUUUUUUCUUUUUUGGUAACACUCUUUAAUAACUUAGAUGAAACUUCUGCUAGUUUUUUGCCGUGUCUGAAAUCAAGAAAAGCACUUCUAAUUGACGUUACUAAAAAUGCAGACUUGGUGGAGGACAAGAGCACUUCUGUUGCUGUAGGGAAGGGAGGUGUAAAUGUUGAUGCAGGAAAAGGAAAGCCUGGAGGAACUGCUGUCAAUGUAGGGAAGGGUGGAGUGAAUGUAAACUCUGGGAAAGGAAAGCCUGGAGGAACUGCUGUCAAUGUAGGAAAGGGUGGAGUGAAUGUAAACUCCGGGAAAGGAAAGCCAGGCGGCGGCACCCAUGUCAGCGUGGGAGGCAAAGGUGUUGGUGUUAACACCGGAAAGCCUGGGAAGGGAACCCGAGUUGGUGUUGGCAAAGGCGGAGUGUCGGUGAGCACAGGACACAAGGGCAAGCCCGUAAUUGUUGGGGUACACCCCGGGCCAAGCCCAUUCCUAUACAAGUAUGCGGCAACCGAGACUCAACUACACCAUGACCCAACUGUAGCCCUUUUUUUCUUGGAGAAGGACAUGCAUCCAGGAAAAAUGAUGAACUUGCAGUUCACUGAAAACACUAACACAGCAACUUUCUUACCUCGCCAGGUUGCUGAUUCAAUACCCUUUUCAUCUAACAAUUUGCCAGAAAUCUACAGUGAGUUUUCAGUGAAACCUGGAUCAACAGAAGCUGAGGUAAUGAAGGAAACAAUCAAGGAAUGUGAAAACCCUGGAAUUGAAGGAGAGGAGAAAGAGUGCGCAACUUCACUGGAGUCAAUGAUCGACUUCAGCACUUCCAAACUAGGAAAGAACGUUCAGGCAAUCUCCACAGAAGUGGAAAACCAAACCCAGAUGCAAAAGUAUACAAUUAAGACCGGAGUAAAGAAGAUGGCAGGAGACAAAUCUGUAGUGUGCCACAAGCAGAACUAUGCAUACGCCGUCUUUUACUGCCAUGCAACACAAACCACGAGGGCUUACACGGUUCCAUUGGAGGGUGCUGAUGGAACAAAUGCUAAAGCUGUAGCAGUGUGCCACACAGAUACAUCUGCAUGGAACCCAAAGCAUUUGGCUUUCCAGGUGCUCAAUGUUAAGCCAGGAACCGUACCAGUCUGCCAUUUCCUUCCUCAGGAUCAUGUUGUGUGGUUUCCCAACUAGGAGUCUGGAUCCCAGUCAUUUCGUCUCUCUUCAGUCCACGGUAGCUGAAAUUGGAAUGUUGUAUACUUAUAUAUCUAUUCGGUUUUCACAAUAAUACAUCUAAAACCUACUACAAAAGAUCGAUUAUGUAUAAUAUAAAGCUUGCUGUAGAUUCAGUGAGUCACGGUGUUUAUUAUUAGAUAACGCCUCCUUCUGUUGCUAUUUUCCUAUCCACAUGAGCAUGUAAUGUGAAAAGAGAGACCUCCAUGAGAAGAGUAAACCAGCACAAAGGGCCUAUUUGGGCAUUUUGUUAAUCAUGUCCCCGUUCCCCUCAGAAGAUUUCCUCGUUCAUAGCCGAACUAAAACUCCAACGACGAAUAUUGCUAGCCAUUUCCCCAGCAGGAAGUCCAUUUCAUUACACCGCAAAUCUCAAGAAGACUACAGACAGUCCCACUAACUAUAGUUAUUGACAAAGAUGUUCCAAAAACCUCUGGGAAUGACAGGUUAGAAGAUCCGAGACACCAGGUACCUAGAGAACAUAUGUGUCCAACGAAAACCUCAUGAUGCGUUCCUUGGCACUAAACAUGCCUGCAGAUGUUAUUUUUCCAGGACGAGUUUUACUCUUCUAAUGUCUCCUAACGUAACUAGCAUGUAGAAGAUGGGUAGGAACAACAAUGAAAGCAUAAAUUUAUAAGGGGGUGUUUUUUCAUUAUAUUGGCACGCAAAACCCUAAAAGAACCCGGAUUAGAAUAGGGGGAAAGCCCUGAAAACAAUAACUAAAUAGCAAGAAAUAAACUAUUAUCCUAAACAACAUGACAUAUUCCUAAAUACCCAUAUAAAUAACAUUAUAUUUAUUUAUUUAUUUUGAAAAGGACGUUAGUAUUCAAAUUGAAAUAACUUGAAAAUAGUUCUCCUAACCACUGCUUUAAUCUCAUCCACCACUAAACUCAUCGAUAAAACCAUCCUUCCCAUAGUACACCCCAAAAUUCUUAUGGUGUUUAUUAGCAUACUGAAUAAAAGGUUUAGCAUAGGAGUUGCCUGUUGUCUUUCCAAAGUUGUAAACUGGAUUGCUCUUCUGCAAGAAUCUUAUUCUCUUAGCUACGGCAUUAAUGGACUCCUAUUGCCAUUUGGCUUGUUCAAAUACUUGUACCGGCAUUGUAGUUUGAGGAUCUUCAACAUUGGUCUGAUAUCAUCCUUUACAAAGCUUGAAAUAUAGCAUGAUUCUUAGAGGGAAAGGUUCAGAGCAUUUAUUAAAGAUAUGAGUUCUUCAAAUCUUUCCACAUACUCAUCUACACUCUUGUCUUGUGCUAACUUAUUGAAUUCUUCCACCACAUCCUCUCUAUUGCAAAAUCUUAUACACAAAGCUUUUGUAAACUCCUCCUAGCUUGCUAAAUUUUCUCCUACAUAUAAGAACCCUUUGUACCAAAUUUCUGCCUUACUAUCCAAGUAUAGUGAUGCUAGCUUUAACCCAUUGUUGCACUGGUAUGUAGUUUAACUUGAAGAAUUUCUUGCACUUAUGUAUCCAGCUCGUAGGAUUCUCUCCAUGGAUAUUUGACAGAUCAAUCUUGGAAUUGCCAUAUGAUGUCCCACUCUUGCUGCUUCUUGGUUACCAAAACAAUCUCCUCUUUGAUUCAUAAGUCCUCGCAGAUUCACCCUUUGAAUAAUACCUCCAGUUAUGGUGUUAACUCUUUCAGAUUCCUGACCUCCUCAGUUAGCCUUCAACAUAGUCAUUAUGGCUUCCAAUUAUGAGUUGAUCUGAUCAAGCUUCUUGCCAUGCUCUUCUGUAAUUUCUUGUAGGUGUUGAAUAUGCUCAUCAACCUUCCUGCCAUGCUCCUCUAAAGCCUUGAUCUUGUUGUUUUCCACCAUUGUUGAUAUCUCAGGAACAAAAACAACCUUCCUUUACCCUUGGAAAGUGGCCUUGAUACCAAUUGUAAGAAGAUUCCUUACAAGUUACUAGAAAAGGGAGGAAAAUAAAGGAGAGAAAGAUCUCGCAAUUUCUACAAAUUUUUCAUCAAUGACCACCUGGACUAUUGGUCAUUCAGUCAUAACUAACUUGCCCGUUAUUGAAAGAAUUGUGAACUCUAUAGUGUAUUGUAUAUGUUAAGAAGGCUGUAAUACAUGUGAUUUAUACAAGUUGCAGAAUAGGAAAACAAAUAAUCUAUUCUAAGAAGGUCAAUCACAAAACUAUGAUUGCCUCAAUGUCAGAAAAUACAAUAGGAAAAUAGUAAACAGAAUAAAAAGAAAUACAUAUUACAAUUGUAUAAUAUCUUUCCCUUUAACACUCCCCCUCAAGUUGGAGUGUGAAUGUCGAUUACACCCAACUUGUGAAGAUGGGAUUGGAACAGGGGUGCGGGCAGUGGCUUGGUGAAAAUGUCAGCUACUUGGAAUUGUGCUUUCACAUGAGCAGUCUCACGAACGGUGUGGCAAUCCAAUUCGAUGUGCUUGGUCAGUUCAUGGUAGACUGGAUUGGCUGCAAUAUAGAGGGCAGCUUUGUUGUCACAAAUUAAGGUGGCAGGUGGCGGGGUACUUGUAGAUCCUGUAAGAGGUAUCGUAACCAAGUAAGUUCACAAGCGGUGGCUACCAUGGACCGGUAUUCAGCUUCUGCGGAUGACCUUGAGACAGUAACUUGCUUCUUGCUUUUCCAUGAUAUGAGGGACUUGCCAAGAAAAAUACAAUAUCCAGUAACUGAGCGCCUUGUGAAAGGGCAUCGUGCCCAGUCUGCAUCGCAAUAUGCCGUCAAGUGUAGUGGCCCAUUCGAGGAGAAUAACAACCCUUGGCCAGGAGCUCCUUUGAGGUAAUGAAGGAGCCGAUGAGCUGUGUCAAAAUGAUGCUUCUGAGGGUCAUGCAUAAAUUGGCUGAGUGUGUUCACUGCAUAUGUGAUUUCAAGCCUUGUAAUGGUAAGAUAGAUUAAUCGUCCAAUAAGUCUCCGAUAACAAGUAGGGUCUUUAAGGGGGUUACUCCCUGUAGGCAUAAGAGCAACAUUUGCAUCCAUAGGAAUCUUUUCAGGUUUGGCACCAAGCAAACCUGCAUCUUCCAAGAUAUCUAGUGUAUACUUUCGCUGGUAAAAAGAAAUGCCAGAUUUGGACCGUGCAAUCUCAACCCCAAAGAAGUAUUUUAAAGGGCCAAGAUCCUUAGUUUUGAAACGAGUGCUGAGGAAAUGUUUAAGGUCUCGGAUGGCAGCAUCAUUAUUCCCAGUAAUUAUCAUAUCAUCAACGUAUAACAAAAUGACAGUGAAAGAUUUGCCUUGUGUUUGUGUGAACAUUGAAUAAUCGGCUUUGGAUUGAAAAAAACCAAUGUGUUGUAUGGCAGUUGAAAACUUACAGAACCAGCUUCAAGACGCCUAUUUCAAACCGUAUAUGGAUUUGUGGAGGCGACAGACCAUGUGCUCCCCCUGGCGUCGAUACCCCGACGGUGGAAGCAUAGACUUCUUCAUGGAGAUCGCCAUGCAGGAAGGCGUUGUGCACAUCCAUCUGAUGCAAAGGCCAACUGUAAACAGCAGCAACAGUAAGGAGGCAAUGAACGGUGAUGAGCUUAGCAACAGGAGCAAAGGUUUCGGUGUAAUCGAUGUCUUCACCCUGGGUAUAACCCUUGGCAACCAAGUGAGCUUUGUAUCUUUCAAUGGAACCGCCCGACUGGUAUUUAAUCUUAAAAAACCAUUUGCAGUCGAUCGGACAAUGACCUACAGGCAAUGAAGUGAAAGACCAGGUGUUGUUCUCCUCUAAAGCUGUGAUUUCAGAAUUCAUAGCUGCAACCCAUUGAGGGUGAUGAUGUGCCUCCUCAUAGGAGCUGGGUUCAACCAAUUGAGAAAUAUGAUUGAUAAAUGUACGAUGAGGUGCAGAGAAAUUAGAGUAAGACACAUACCGAGUGAUGGGGUAGACGUGACAGAGGAGGGAUUAGUAGGAGAGCAGAGUGGCAUGGUGGGUUUGGUAAUCUUUGAAGCGGGUAGGGAGUUUUGUGGGUCGGUUGGAUUGGCGAAUGGGCGGUGGAUUGAUGGCUAUGGAAGGGGUAGGGGAUGCGGAGGGAAGAUAUGGGAUGAUGGGUAAAUGAGGAGAAGAUAAGUCGGUGAUGGGUAUGGGUGGAGUAGAUGUGAUGGGAAGCAGGGGAGGAUGAGGGGGAAUGGAAGGGGAAUCAGGGAAGACUGGUUGGGGUGGUGUGAUUUGGUUAGGGAUGGGUGCAGGGAGAAGUAAUGGGUCGGGGGAAGAAUUGGGUAUUACAGUAGAGCCAUCUUGGGUUUCGGGUGGAGAUGUAGAGAAAGGGAAUGUGUGUUCAUGAAAAAUCACAUCGCGAGAGGAAAAAAAAUUUUGUGUGGUAAGGUCAUAAAGGCGGUAACCUUUUUGACCGAGGGGGUAACCAAAAAACACACAUCGGCGAGCCCGUGCAUCAAAUUUGUGCUUAGGAAGAAGAUUGGUGACAUAACACAGACAGCCGAAUACUCGUAAAAUAGAGUAAUCGAGAGAUCUAUGAUGUAAUAGCUCAAAUGGUGAUUUGUGUUUGAGUAAGGGUGUUGGGCGACGGUUUAUAAGAUAACAUGCAGUUUGUAAACUCUCCCCCCAAAAACGCAAGGGAAUGUUGGCUUGGAAACGUAGCGCUCGGCCAACAUUUAAGAGAUGACGAUGUUUUCUCUCGACAACACCAUUUUGUUGGGGUGUAUAUAGACAUGAGUGUUGAAAAUAAGUGCCUUUGUUUUGAAAGAAAGAUUUGAGAGACAUAAAUUCACUCCCAUUAUCGGCAUGCAAGGAUUUGAUAGGAAGGUUAAAUUGGGUUUGGACCCAAGGAAAAAAUGAUUGAAUUACCCCUUGUGUUUCUGAUUUAAAAUUUAGAAAAUGGAUCCAUGUAAAUCGGGUAAAAUCAUCUACAAUGGUUAAGAAAUAUCGGGCACCAGUAUGAGUACGUAUUUUGUGUGGUCCCCAAAUAUCACAAUGAAUUAAAUCAAAAGGUGCAGUGGACGCUUGUGAAGUAGAUGGAGAGAAAAAUAAACGAGUUUGUUUUGCUAACGGGCAAAUAUCACAAACAUGUUUUGGAUCACAGACAAUUUCUGAAAUUUUAUUUGAAAGUAAUUGAAGGGGCGUUGGAUGGGUGGCCCAAACGUUGGUGCCAAAGAUGGGAGGUGUGGUGGACAUGGUGAGCUAGAUGUGGAUUUUGGGUAGCUGUGAGGUAGUAGAGCCCAUUAAAUUGCUUGCCCAGGCCAAUCGUCCUCCUCGUGGUCACGUCCUGCACAAUACAAAAUUUAUCAAAGAAAAUCACAAUACACUGCAAUCCUCGUGUCAAUUUGCUCACAUAUAAUAAGUUCACAUUAAAUUGAGGGACGUGAAGAACUCCUUCAAGAGUUAUUGUUUCAGAUACUUUAACGGACCCAACGUUGUGAAUUUAUGCUUUUCCUCCAUUGGGUAACCCAAUAAAAUCAUGAGGAGCAUGUAACAUGUUAUGUGUAGGUGCAAAACAUGAAAUGUGAUCUGACGCUCCACUGUCCAUUAUCCAGUAUAUGUUUGAAUGUGGGUUAUGCUGUGAUAGAUUACAGGUAGGUGUAACAGUACCUGUUGCAUUUGCACGUGAAAAAUUACCGGAUUGGUUGUGCAAGAGGGCGAGCAAUUGAUUAUAUUCUUCGGUGGUGAAAGUUGGACUUUCAUUUGGCUUACUGUCAUGCACUAAGGUGGGAUCCCUGUCAACAGUGUAGGCAUUGGGUCUUUUAUUCCUUGGCUUGGCAUUCUUUCCAUGUAACUUAUGGCCCACAGGAAAACCAUUGAUAUAAUAACAAUUUUCCACCGUGGGUGUCUCCAUCACAGUAAGAACAAUUGAGUUGCUUCUUCAGAUAAGGAUCGUGCUUCCCUUCUCCAUUACCAGCACCAGGCAAUUUUGUUCUCAUUUGAUUCCUAGGUCUUGUCCCUCCCCUGAUGUAGCGACUGGUCUGCAUAGCAUGGGGUCUGAUCUGCCGAUUUGCCACAUCCAUUUAUCGCUCGUGUUGGAUGAUUAAUCCAUGAACACGCCGUGUCUGGGAUCGGUGACAUCAUGAGGAUUGACCCACUCACUGUUGAGUAAGCUUCAUUAAGACCCAUUAGAAAUUGCAUGACUCUCUCCUUUUCUUCUCUUGAGACUUGUGUUUUGGAACCCUCACAGGUGUAUAUGAUGGGUUCAUAGGAGGAAUCUAAUUCAUCCCAUAGAGCCUUGAGUUAGUAUAGUAUUCUAAAAUUGUGAGGUUACCUUGUCGAUGCUCAGCAAUUUCUUGGCGGAUUUGGAAAAUCUUGGAGUCAUUGCUUUGUGAGAAUCAAUCCUCGAGGUCAUUCCAUACCAUAGAGGCACUAGUGCAGUAAAGCACAUUGCUUGCAAUAUCAGGAUUUAGUUAUUGUAAAAUCUAUGACAGCAUCAUGUCGUUGCAUCUUUGCCAAACAACAAAUUUGGUAUCGAUGCUUGCUUGAGGUGUGAUGGUUCCGUCAAUAAACCCCAGUUUGUUUUUGGCACUCAAGGCAAUACGCAUUGAGCGGCUCCAUUGACCAUAAUUGUAUUCUUCAAAGGCUUGGAAACAAGAACAAGCCCUGGUGAACUAUGCAGGGUGAGUGAGUUUGAUGUGUUGUCCUCCAUGUUUAUUUGCUCUGAUACCAUGAAAGAAUUGUGAACUCUGUAGUGUAUUGUAUAUGUUAAGAAGGUUGUAAUACUUGUGAUUUAUACAAGUUGCAGAAUCUAUUCUAGGAAAGCAAAUAAUCUAUUCUAAGAAGGUCAAUCACAAUAAUUGUGAUUGCCUCAAUCUCAGCAAAUACAAUAGGAAAACAGUAAACAGAAUAGAAAGAAAUACAUAUUACAAUAGCUGUAUAAUAUCUUUCCUUUUAACAGUUAUUAUCUUCUAAAGUAACAAACUGCAACUGAUUACUUCAACUAACAUAUGAAUCAAGUUUAUAAUUCCAUCACAUGCUUAGUGCGUGUUUGGGCAUGUUUGUCAUUGCGUUUCAAAAGCAUUUUUGAAAAUGUUGCUGCUCAAUUUUGUUGCCUCAACCUGCAGUUCACUCUUCUCCUCUAAUGUCCCAGCUUACCAUGCUAACUGUAACACAGAUUUUUCUCUCUAUCAGAAGGAAUAACUAAACAAAGAAACACUAUAAUAAUUAGACGACACAAUUAUGUCAACUGCAAGAUUGAAAGAGAACUUGGCCAUCACACGUGCAUAGCAUGCCUCUGUGUUUAUUUUCAGGAAAAUAGAAAAUGUGUUGGCUGACCAAACCACCUUCAUACCCAUGUGCACGUUUGUGUCCCCAGAAAAAUCUAAACGAUGCAAGUUUUUAGGACUUCACAAUAAUUAUGGUUGACACAGCCCCUUAGAAAUUACAGUCACAAUCUAAUUGUAUCAAAGAUAAAAUAAAUGAUUGAACACUAAGAAAAUGGAUUACAAACAAGAGAAAAACUAAAGCAGAAUCAUGGAGAGAGAGGCUUUAUCCCAUAUUAAUUUCUUUUUCAAUUGGUGAAGAGAAUUUAUGAGAAUAAAAGAAUGCAAUAAGGAGAAUAAGAAAAUCUCCAUGAAAUUAAAAAAAAAAAAAAAAGAAAUCAACAGGUCAUACAUGCUUACAUGCUUGAAGAAGUUUAGCAUAAUGUUGCUAGAUAAUAUUUACUCCAAGAAAGCAUCUGAAGACCCCAACUGGAUAUCUACUAAUAUUGGCAUUCACCAUGAUAAACUCCUGUGAAUAGACAGUAAUAUCCGAUUAUUCUUGUUUAUUUUAUUCAAAUCCCAAUAGCUGAUGAAAAAUGAUCACUUUAAUGUUAAUAAUUACCCAGUUACUCAUGGCAUUUAUUUAUUAUACCAACAAAAUAUGCUAAGCCAACAAAACAAGCUGCAAAAGAGAUUUAAGGCCUUCAUACCUGAUAGCUAGUCCAACAACUUGAGUGAUCACCAUAUCAAUCAAAGUUGGUUGACUUUGUAAAUCAUAUGAUGAAUCUAGUUUAGAGAUUUAAGGCCUUCAUUUAUUCCAAACAUAAUGUCUUUUGAAAGAAGACAUCAACCAAACUGCAACACAAAAAUUUAAGACAAAUUUCAGGUAAAACAAAUGAAGGGUUGAUUAGCCACACAUGCUCUAAAGCCUAUUGCCACAGGCCUCUCUUCAUCCAGCUGCAAAGCAAGUUAUUUGCUCCUAUUUUAAAUAUUUCUAGUGAAUGUUAUUGAAGAAGAAUUCUUCAGCUUAAAAUCUUAUUAUUUAAGCAAUAAGCAUAGCCUAUGGUUUCUGCUCAGUUGGCAUUUUCGUUAAUUCUAAAACUACAAUCAUACGCUGAAGGUAGAUGAAUAUUAUGUAUGGACAGAAUAUAGUAAAACUCAGCAAACAUUUUUCUAUCUGAAGAAAAGACAGCAGGAAGGAGAAGUGCUUAUAGAUAAAAACCAGUUCGUAUACCUGUACAAUACUACAGGGAACCCAAAUUUCUUUAAAUGUAAAAAAAAAUCUGAGUCUUAAAAAAUCAUUUGAUAUUAUCAUUAAACCAAAAAAUAGUUAUUUUGAAAAAAUAUAUAUAUAAUGAUAAAGUUUCCUACUGUUUAUCUUAGACAACAUAAUGUUUAUAACUAGAAGCAUUGUUUCUUUUUAAAAAAAAAAAAAAAAACAUUUUAUGAUUGUUAAAGCAAGUUAACAAAAAAUAUCAAAAUAGUAUGUCCAUAUUUUGUAUGAUUGAAAGCUAAAAAAAUCAUAGAUAUAAUAAAAUCAUGUUCAAAAUCUAUUUAAACAUUCUAAUAAUAAACAACCGAUUUCAAUCAAAUUUUCAUAAACAAUUCAUUAUUAUUAUUUUCAUAUCAAAAACAUAAUAAUUGAAGAACAGUUAUUAAAAUUCAAAUAAAAAAAUAUUUAAAAAACUUGUCAUAACUGAAUAGUAAGUGAAUCCAGUAAAUGUUUUUUGGAAAGUCAAAAAAACCAGAGAGAAAAAAAGCCAGCAAAGAGCCUAGCCCGCGCGCACGUGGUAGGCGAGGCUCGUGCACCCGGCCCUGCUCUAUUUUUUUUAUCAAGGGGGCAGAUGAUUUAAAAAAAAAAAAAAGUUAGAAAGUAGAAGCACUCCCAACACUCAAACCCGCAACUUGUGCCCUCCCCACAAGCGCCUCAACUGAUUGAGCCAUGACACAAAAUUGUUAUUAAACAAGUAUUUCAUUGUUUAUAUAAUCAGUAAAGCACUACAAGAAUCAAUACAAGAAAGAAGAGAAAGAGAAAUGUGUGUGCAAUUAAAGAGAUAGGAUAGAAGAGGAAAAAUUUGAGAAAACGGGUACAAAUAAUUUGGAAGAGAGAGGCUGAGGGGAGAGUUAAACAAUUGGUGUAAUAGAAAAUGUUAGUGCUACAGAAAUUCAAGGAAAAAAGAACAUCAUAGUAUGUUCAUGUUUGUUUCUUCAACUAGCUGUCCAUCAGUUUCCAUCCGUUCAGUUAUGAUUUCCAUUGUUGCAGAACAAAUAAUUCUUUUAUCUCCGCUUUUUCUUUUCUGAAUGCUUAUCAUAGGCAUCCAAAAUCAGCUGUGUGUGGUCACUGCACACUACAUACUUGCAAGAAAUAGGAGGAGAAAACUAUUGGGUUUGAUAUCCUGUCCACUGUUGGAAGUUAUCAACAGGAAGUGCAGACACAAUCGAAGUACAGAAUUGAUGUGGGUUCUUGUUUCCUCGUGCAAGUUGUCUUAGAGAUUCAUAACUAUUUUGCAAGUUGUGCACCAUGAGUUAAAUUCUUCAGCUACAAAACAAUAUUGAAGGUCCUUUAAGGCAGAAAUAUAAUUCCUGCAGCAUACAUUACUCUGUAGAAGGACCAGUAGACAUUUUUUCACAAGCCAUUAUGAUGGAAACUGGAAAAAUAUAAAACUUCCAGGUAAUGUUUGGACGACAUAUCCCAUCCAUGCCUCAGGGCACUGAGGCCUCCAUCAUUUAAGCCCUGAUAAACCUAGGACAACCACUAGUUUGCAUGUUAAGCUAACCGAUGGUAUAGUCAAAAACAUAGAUGGUGACCCACAACAGCUCCUAUAUAUUGGUUUGUUACGUGGUAUGGAAAUAAAGAGUGCCCAGAGCUCAAUCAUAUAUCCAAUGAGCAUGGUGAAAGAGAUACAAUACAACCAGAACACAAACAAAAUGCAUCUCAUCAGCGAUAUGUGCUUAUUUCAACUAAUUCGGCUUCCUUGUUACCAAUACAUACCUUCUUUUCCAACACUGAGUACGUUAGCAAUUGCUUGGCAGGUGACCUUGUAGGAAUUUGGAAUAGCUAUGUGCUCAUGAUUUCCUAGCACUGGCAGGAUCAGCAGCCAAGCUGUGAAAACAAAAAAUCAUUAGCACUUGUAUGUAAAAGGCAAGCUCAAUGAAGGACGCUGUAAGUCUUUGUUCCAAGAGAACUCAUACAUGAUCUCUGGUGAAACACAUAGGCAAUAUAUCUAGUGAUCUCAUUAGCUUGUCCACCAUGGAGAAGCAGUUCCUUUGCACCUCUGUGAUUUCUUCUUUCAACCUUCCAGAUAACAUCAGGUCAAGGCUUAUUAUUUCAAAACUGCAAUUCAAGUGGAGCCCAUAAAAUUUUCCAGCUCCUUGGGGAACAUUUUGCUCAGCAUAAAUAUAGAAGCUGGAAUCUCUGCAUAAAACUAUACUUAAAUCAGAAGAUCUGAAAUUACAUCUUCCAUCUUAUAAAAUAAAAUACUGUUAACCAAUUGAAUCACAUAACAUACAGUGGGCCAAAUUGCCAACAAUCUUCGCCUCUAACACCAUGCAACUGUUUACUUCUUUAUCAAACAACUCGUUCCUCAUGAUUCAGGCAUAAGAACUUCAUUUACGUGUUGAUCAGCAAGAAAAGGCUCUAAAGAGCCCCAGGUUCUUCCAACUUUUAGUUUGACAUGCAAAGGAACUGAAAUGAAUGUUGUACAAUUAUGGUUAAUUACAUUAUCAAGAUGUCAAGAUUUUGUUGGGAAAAAAAAAGAGUAUUGAACACAUACCAAGAAGAGAAGCAGCAUCUUCCAUGCUCAUUUGUAACAGCAAUGCAGCUUCAUUGAUCAAGGAUGGAUCAACUUCCAGCACUAGCUCGUCAUGUACCUGAAUAGUAGUCACCAAGAUUCUUAUCAACUUUCUCCAAUGACACUGCAACUCAAAGUUCAGAUUUAAAUGGGAACCUUGCUGGAUUGACAGAUCAUAGACCAACAAAUGCACAGAUCAGAGUUCCAGUGUCCAAGCAAUUACUAUAUAUACUUCUCAAAGACAUUGGAAAUGAAGGAAUAUUUCAAAAAAAAAACUGAAGAAAUUGAAGCAGUUUUCCAAAGUAACCUGUAAUAGAAUUCGGCAUUGGCCCUUCAGCAUGUGAAACUUGUUUGCAUGUAAAGAGCUAGACUCUGGCCUAUCAACUCCAUCAACAAUCAGAGAGUGUAUAUUUAUCAUUGCAAUCUUGAUUAAGUCAGCAGCAGAUCCCUGUAAGAAGCAGCUAUCAGGACAAAACUAUUAUUAACCCAUGCUGUCCUAAUGUCUUUGACCAUCCCAAAAAUCACUAUACCUGACAGAUAGAAUUAACUGCUUGUCUCUGAGCUUUUGAUUUUUCUUCACUAUUUCCGAAUUUUAUUUUCGACAAGAACCGUUUUCUUCCCUUAAUGGUCUCCACAUAUCUGAAUUAACAGUAAAUAGAUACUUAUACUGAUAAUUAAAUCUUAAGGAACAAGAAAACUUGAAUGCCAUGCUUAAUCACAAGUAACUUUAAAUACAGAGCUACACGCCUCUUGAUUUAAAAAGGAUUGUCUUCGCAUGACAUCAAAUAGAAAAUACAAGAGACAACUUACUUUUGAUACCAGUGAUGAUAUGCAUUAGAAGAGCAUGUACAGCUAAACAUUUGCAAAUAAAAAAGAUGACAAUACAUGCAUCCAAAAAGACUUCAAAAUUAUGAUGAUAUGCAUUAGAAAAACAUAUACAGCAAAACAUUUACUUAUAAAAAAGAUGAAAUAUAUGCAUCCAAAAUGACUUCAAAAUUAUGCAAUACCUUUACCACUUGAACUAAAUGAAAAUAGAUUAAGAUGACAAUAGAACUAAAAUAAGUCAAGUGAAGACUCACUGCAAUAAGAUAACACCCUUACCCUUUUUCACGGCAAGAUGCAACUGCUUCAUGGAGCCAGGAAGCAACCCCAGGAAAAGAACUUUUGAAGCUUUUAAUUUUUUCUGCAGCUUCAUCUGAGCUACAAUCCAGUUGUUCAGCAAGAGUGUUAGCACCCAUUCCAUAAAGAAUUCCAUAAACCAUCCUUUUGGUCUGAUCUCGCUCAACUGAGCUGACAGAAGCUUCAGGCUUCCCAGUCCAUUGUGCGGCUAUUAGGUUGAAAACAUCGCCAUGUGGCUUGGUAAGGAGUUUAAUUAAUGCAGUGUCUUUAGAGAAAUGUGCCAUCAGUCGCAAUUCUAUCUGAGAAUAAUCUGCUGUUAACAGUAGCCAGUUAUCCUGCAAUAAGAAUUUGAGCUUUAGAUCCUUUGGGAAUAAGGAUUGAUGCAUAGAAAGCAUAAUCUACAGGCCCCACAGGACUUUUAUCAUUCUCCAGUUUGCAUUACCGAAAGCAAGGGGCUAAAUUAGCUCAAGGAUUUUUAAUACCCUAGACUGUUUUACUUUUCCAGGCUAUACUUUCAAGUUCUAAGAAGAUAUUUGAUAUAUACUGGAUAAUAACUACAAAUACAUAUAAAUUCAUUACGUGAGAAGCAUGAGACAAGGUUACAAGCUAAAUGACCAUAUUACCUGAGUAGGAACAAAGAAGUCACGGGCAUUUAUUUUAUAAUGCUCAGGUUCAGCAUCAUCCCCCUCUUUAUCUGAACUCAUUUCGAAAUCAACUGCGUGUUCAACGCACUGCAUAACUCAAAAGCAAGAAUGGUUACCAACACUAAAAUUAAAUUCAGAUUACUAAAAAAAAGAAAAGAAAAGAAUCACUGUAACAAAAGAAAGGGUGAAUAUAAAUAAUUAUAACCUGAAGAUUAGGUUCUUCGAUUGAAAGCCGACCAGUAGCUGUUGAUGUUUGGAGCCAAUGGCCAUGUAGUGUGUACUUCUGAGUCUCCAUAGAUAGCCUUGCCAGUGAACAGAUUGAUCCCAGUGUCGAGUUUAAAAGCUUUGCUAAUGUCCUGUGCUCUCUGAUGACUGGAACAAUAGGAUGCUCAUGCCUGAAAGGAAACAAAUCCUAUUAAUGUACUUCUUUUCACAAACAUAAUAAAUGCAGCGAGUAAGCCACCAUGAAUCAUCUAGAUACCCAGAGCAUGACAGGAUAAACUGCUUUGUUUGUAAUCAAAAUGUACAAGGGCCAGUACUCAAUAAACUGUAAAAGCCAGGUAAAUUUGAAAGCAAUGCCUUCAAUCAGGGAUGGUCAUUUCUGGUAAUUCAGGCUGGAUGAAGGGAAUUCAGGAAGUUAACUUGAACUACACGUUUGGGUUGGGUAAGUUUGGCAACAUAAAAUUGGUUUCGGUUGGUUAAUGAAAAAGAAAUUUGGGUCACAUUGACCCAAUUUUCUUUUUCAUUAACCAACCGAAACCAAUUUUAUGUUGCCAAACUUACCCAACCCAAACGUGUAGUUCAAGUUAACUGAGCCCAUUUUGAAUUUGUUGGGCCCUUUAUAAUAAAAAUAUUAUUUUAUUAGUUAAAAUAAUAUAACUUGAAAAGCAAGAGACAACAUGACAAGAACUUACAAGAACUUAUGUGAACUAAUUAUCUUUUAUUAAAUUGUCUAUUUCAUAAUAAUAUAUAUUAAUAUUGGUUUUACCAAUGUCAGAUAAACUGCUAUGUUUGUAAUCAAAAUCAUUCUAGGAAACAAAUACCCUUUAUUUACAAUCCAUUUGUGAAUUGAAAAAAAAAAACACCCUAAAUCGACAAAUAAAAAGUUAAGGUGAAAAUCUUUGUAAGAUGUAAAAAGGGUAAUGAACAAAGGGAUGAUUCUCAUCUCAACAACUUUUGUUAGAACAUAAGCAUAGAAGAAAAAUAACACAAAUUGCAAUUUAAACAAGAGAUAAAAAUGUUAUUUCCAUUGUAGGAUAUAGGAUAUACAGGCCUUGCAUCUUUGGAGGCCCAGAGUUAAGGAAUGAAAAAUUAUAUACGACAAAAUUAAAAAAGAAAAUAUAGUCCAGGUAACUUGGGUACCCAAACUUUCUCUUACUACAAAUUGCCUCAAAAAGAUUCAGGUUGUAACCUAAUCCAACUCUAAAACCAAUCUAAAGGAAUUAGUUAACCCAAAUUGAAUCAUGCAGUUCAGAUAAAUCCAGAUAACUCAGACCCAUAAAUCAAUUGAAACAUAUAUAUUGUCAAUGGGGUCUUCCAUCAUGCAAUUAAAACUUUCACAUUGAAAAACUAUAAGGUCAACAAUUAUAAUCCAUCCUAUUUAUUAAAUAUUCAGAUUUUAUCAGAGGCAUUACACCCAAAACAUUAAGAGUAAAGGUAGAAUUGGGCUGCUCUAAAUGACCACAAGAGCAAUUCUAUUACUCCAUUCAGGGCAUUGUACAGCUCAACAAAGACUUAAUCCAAAUUACUUUAUCUUGUAAGCAAAUAAGAAAAGAGUUGUGUACUUAUGACAAAAGCCAUAGCCAUGACAGUCUCCAGGAGCAAGAAUAACACUUGAUUAUCCACACAAAAAAAAAAAACACAGAUCUAUAUAGAUAACUUGGACAUUCAUUUUGCAUAUACAAAUAUUGCAAGAUGUGCUUAGCAUAUUUUUCACUUAAAGGCAUUGGUACUAAAAAGUAAGACCAUCUCAUACCUUAACAAAUCCAAACAAUGCUUGUCAGUGCUAGGAUGUUUUUUCCCCUUAUCGUGUCCUUCUGGAAUGGGAAGCUUCAAGUGUCUGUAUAGAAUAUUUGCAAUGUCUGCUGCUGUGUACAGUGAAAAUGUCAUGCCAGCCAGCUUAUAAGCCUUCUUCUCAAGAUACCUUAGCCUUUUCCCCAGCACAGUGCGUGCAUUUAGGCACCCCUCCAUGUCAACACCGAUCCCCCAAAGCUCCAUGUCAGCAAGAACAUUCACCUGAUACAAAUUUGCAAGCAAUAGAUUAGUAAUGUGAACAUCAAGUUACAGAGUGAAAUUACUGACGAUACUGGCUCAGUGAUUCCAAAACCAAAAAUAUCUCGCAUCACAUGACCAUUUGUGGAUGUGCAUGACCAGCCAUACGAGAGGCCAAGAUUCUAUGAAGAUACUAACACUAGAUGAUAGCAGCUUCCAAUUAAACAGUUUGAUAGCAACUUUUCUUCUACAAAACAAAUAAAGGAAUUUAAUAUAGAACAGAAUCUCUACCAAACGAUCAUGUGUUACCAUCCCAACAAUUUCCAUGAAAAUAAGUAAGGUGAAGCUCAAGAUAUUAAGCUCCAAUUUUAUUGAAAUAUCAUAUAAAAUUUUAAACUUUCAAUGCCUAGAAACAAAUUUACAUUUAAGGAAGUAUAGCUGAAAGCAACAGAAUAUUUACCAGCGGGAUUUCAAUGUUCUUGAGUGCUUCAAAGAGUCCCUCAGAAGUCAGUAACUUCCAAAGACCAGAGCAUAGGGCUCUUGUUUGCGCAACGCGGCGACAACAGCCAUUAUGAGCAACUCUUCGCAUCUGAUUCUUCCACCUGCCAUUCUGAUUAGCAGCUGCCACAGCCUCACUUGAUAACCUUUUCUUGACUUCCUGCAUCAUCAAUUCAUCAUCAUGACAAUCAGUGGAACAGGAAAGAAAAAAAUAAAAAAAAAGGUGCCUAUCAUGAAAAGGAAAGGAAACUUCCCCUUCCAAAGACAGACUGCACAAGCUAUUCUUCGGAUUCACAUUUUAAAUGCAGCUAGUUAAUAUUACCUUCUCCAAGUUCGGAUUGGAGCUUCUCUCCUCAUCAGGCCAAAGAAUCCAUGCCACAAUGCACAUGUCGAUUGCUUCUUUAAUGUUAAUAGGGGAUAAUGUAAAGUGCGAACCGCCUAUGAGUUCAGGACCAAAUAUUUUCCUUGGAAAACUCGGGCAGCCAAAUCUCUGAAUGGAAACUACAGCACCCUUGAGCACCUGAAGUUGAACUUUCAAAUUCCAAGUAAAUUUUAGGACACCUCUCUUUCCCAUUAUUUCUCCAAUCUUGUUCCAUCUCUUCCGAACUAUCUCCAACCAAUUCUCAGGUGGUUGAACAUUAUUUUUGUCACCAGAUUGACUGGGAGUUGAAUCAUUCCUUUGCUUAUGAGACCAAAGUAGGUCCUUAGGAAGAUUGAUGAAGUACACAGGAGAGUUUUCCCAGCAGAUGGCAAUACCAUGUAUUUCAAAUAGGCUGACAGAAUUUACUUCUGAUCGCUUGUUAUAAUGGAUAUCAAAAUAGAAUUCUUGGGUAGCAUCCCAGAGAUCCAAGAAAGAAUCAAAUCCACCAGAAAUAUUACUUGCAUUAGUAGGACCCUUCUUACAAGCACUGUCCUUUUUAUCACUACUUAAAUUCUCUCCACUACACUGCCCCUGAACUCUGGUAUCAGUGAUCCGGUCAUUGGUCCCAGUUCCAUCACCGCUAUGUCCAAAUUGUACAGAGAGGAUUGUUUCUGCACUAUUCUUAUUAUCACCAGUAGUACAAAGCUCAGUGCCAAGAUUUGAAGAUUUCUUAGCUGGUACUGUAGAAUUUUCAGCACCAAUAUAGCACUGAACGGGACCAUUUGAGUUUCCUUCUGCAGCAACUACCAAUCCAACACUGACUGGUUUCAUUAGUUUGUCUUCUCCGGUUCCCAUUGUAACUUUACCAGAAUUCUUGCUACCUUCUAUGAACAGCAUAGAUGAAGCAUGAUCUCUUUUAUCCACAUGCAAAAUGAUAUUAGAUUUAUCUCCAAACAAGGUACCUGCAUUUCCUUGCUCAACAAGAUUUUCGGGAGCAUUGGAUAACAAAGGCGGAGAAAACUGUGGAACAUUGAAUCCAAGUGAUUUGAAAGCUUCAAAAGCAAUAACCCUUGCCUCUUCUGCUUUGUCAAGUACAAUUUUACGUGCACCAUUCUUGAUUUUCUUCGCAAUUCCCAAUUGCACGCGUCUUUGUGCUGAACCUUCUGCAUCAAUUUUCUCAACUUGUGUGAAUCAUAAUAAAUCCAAAUAUUUAAUACAUGCAUCUAUAAAUGCAUGCUACACAACAGAGAGAACAAGGGUACACAAAGUCUCUAUUAGAAGGCAUGUAGUAGGAACAUCAUUGCAAAUAUUAGAAAAGUUCCAUUACAAGUAUGAUACUAAAUAUGAGAUACUUAGAUUUAGAUCAGAUAUCCAUAGAUGCAUGUUUAGAAAACAGAAAUAACAACCAAGAAUGAAACCUCACCCCAAAAUUUUACACACUAAAACCUAAAAAAGAACUAUAUGCCCUAUGAUCCUAACCUGCAAACCUAUACUGAAUAUACAACCCUAAACUCUUCGGCACAUUUUCCCUAAGACCCCCAAAACCAAACCUGGCAUUAAUGAGAACAAACUCAGUUAGAAACCCUUAUAGCUGUAACUCAAUUACAUCUAAGUGUUAAAUCCUGAAAAUCUCAACCUCAAUGAUAAACAUGAAACCUAAAUCCAUAUACCAAUACCUAAAUUGCUGAGCACAAAAGGAAAAAAUAAAGGAUCACAAAGAAUACGACAGGACAAAACUAAAAUAUAGGCAUGUGCAUCUACACACACAACUUCAAUGCGAAAUAUAACUAUUAUAUUUGAAUGUAAAUAGAUCUUUACACACAGAUACAAUGUGCAGGUGCACAUGUAGUCUUGCAGACAGAGUGCAUGUUUGGGCGUGCCACAAAAUCCAAACCAAGAAUUUGUUUCUCAUACACCACAAGAAAGACUCGUUUUCCUAUCUAAGAAACUCAUCCAUUACAAAUUGCCAAACCUAAAGCAUGCAACAACAUUCUAGAAUCUGUUGCCACUUGGCAUGAUGUUCAUAUAUCUGUGAUUUCUUUCUUCCAAAAUAUAAAAGGUACAAACCUCUCAAAGUGGGGAAAGAAUUCUGUGAUAAAUAAAUUCCAUAAGAAUCACAAAAUAAUCUCCCAUAAAAGAAGAAAUCGCAUGUAAGUUACACCAAGGAAAGUCUUCAGUUAGGACAUUUUAGCUAGAAUAAAGAUAGCAUGCAUUUUCUACACAAAAUCAUCAUAUAAGAGGUCAUGUGCUGAAAACUCUAUCAAGUUCACCUUGUGCAGACCAUGAUGAAGAUUCAAAAAGUGCUUUGCCUAUUUCAGGAAUAGAUGCUUCAGCAAUAGCUUGAGGAGUACGCAACCCUGCUUUAUAGAGUGCCCUUGCUCGAGAACCCUACAAAUGAAGCAGUGAAAAUAAUGGCCAUCUCUGAAUCAUUAACUAGAAACUUUGAAGCAUCAACAGGAUGACAAAUAACUAUUACAACUAUGUGUUAGCAAUCUUGCAGAAAAAAAUAGAAGCAAUUGAUUACCUUAACAUAUGGAAUAUUAGUGAGCUCCACAAUCUCUGCUCUCACUCCAAAUGAAACACGAUUUUGGAACUUCGCAACCAGACCUUCAAGAUCAUGCCAUCCAAGUCUUUCACAAAACACAGAAACCAUAGAUGCAAAUCUUCCAGCAUUCUCUUGUAAGGAUUGGACCAUGCCUCUAGCAACUUUAAAAGCUUCACACACCUCAGGUACAGGUGCUUCCUUUAUGCCAGAAUUUAAACAGCAUUUAUUCAGCAAAGCAAUGAACUAAAAAAUAAAUAUAAAAAUCAGCAUUUAUUAGCAAGCAGAAGCAAACACAACCCAUGAUAAACAAAUAUUAGGUAUCAUAUCCAGGUAACCAUGUGAAUAAAUAAGCAGAAUACUUGAUAAAUAUACUUUUUCUGGAUAAAGAAACAACCAAGAAUCUAUAUUCAUAGUAUAUGCAAUUUACACAUGGUAUUAUAUGCCAACGCGCACGAAAUAAACACAAAAAAUAGAUGUACUCAAAAGGAUGUGAAUCGCACAAGAAAAUAUUUGGUUCCCUGAGUCAAUAUUAUUGAUCAGAUAGGAGGAAAAAUGAAAAGGGAUGAAACACCUGCACAAGUCUUGACAAGAUGAGAGCAACAAAAAAUCUUUUGCACACCCUACGUGUCUGAUCAUCUGAAAUGGCACUUUUGUUUGUAACCCCAGAUUGGUUUUCAUACUUGCUGGCAUGCAAGGCUUUUGUAUUAUCUAUUGAUCUGUUCAAGCUGCGCAUAGGUGCUCCAUGUGCCAUCCGCAUCAAAAAUGGCUCUGAAACUCCAACUCGAUUUCCAACAGACUUCAUUCCAUGAAAUUGGAAAAGAAAAGGGUAAGAUAUUUAAAGCAUUAUUGAAAAUCCAGAGAAAAGAUCAAUCAAAUGUGAAACAAUAACUCAAAGAUUGGGAAAAAAAAUGAGCAGAGGAAAAACAUCACCUCUAUUUCUACUGUUUAGUAAUUUAAUCAUGCAUAAUAGUACCAAUAUCUGUUAGUUUACCUGAACUAAUUACAUGAAGAAAUUAUGUUGGUUCAAUUCUACUGCUUUUUUCUUUCCUAUCACUCUUUGAAUUUUAAUGAACUUGGUGCUCUGAUCAUAUGUUCUGUGCUAAGUGGCAUCUACAUAGAGAGGUCAAAAGAUUUGAACUCUAUGUGGCUUUAAUAUCACCAAGCAGGUUACAUCUGAAAAGACCAUUGGCCAGGAUUAAAGAAUGCUAUUCAGGAAUCACAUGUCACACACCAAACAUAUAGAUUCAACAUACAGAAAUCCAUCUCUCACAAAAAUUGGAAAGCGGCCACAAGGUAUCAGUUGUCUCCAACUUGCAACGAAAAGAAUGCCUAAUAUCAACUGACACAAGGUGAUCAAAACCAACAACAUUACCUGAUCAAGGAUAGACAAUUCCAUAAACCUUUCAUAAUACAAUUCCCAGUUCGGCUCAACAUCAACAUUGAUUGGUGUGACUAAGAACACUAAAUGCAAAUCGGACGCAAGCACAAAUCCUUCUCGUGCUCUGGAAAGAUCAUCUAGCACAAUCUAGGAAACCAGACAAAAAACCACAAUAAAUGAAAGCACAGGCGCGUGUCAAAUAGUUAGCUACAGCAAUUAAGAGAGAAAAAAUUGAAAAGCAAGCAAACUCACUAAGAGAAUGCUUAGGAAAACAUGUUAAACAAAAGGGAUGCAACCAACAGAACAUUGGUCUGGAAAUGGAGCGAAAAAUGCAGAAAAAAUAAGGCUACAGAUCUUUACAAGUGAUUCUUCUGGACAAAGAGAACUGCCAAAAGCUGCACGUCCAAGAGGUGUUGUGCCAUAUAGCUUAGUAUCUUCAUUCCAUUCAAGAAAUUUUCUGUGGCACAACCAUCUAAGUGAAUCCUGUGCUGAUUUCACAACAUCCCUGAACGGUUUUGUAGAAUUGAGAAGAGUACAUCUAACAUAACGAUGAAUAUCAUUAGCAGUUUGAACAAUCCCACCAGCCACAACUUCUAAAAUUGCAUGUGUCAUUCCAUUUUUAUCUUCAGAUAGACACGACUGCAAUGGUGGACAGCUUUCAUUAAGAAGUCCCAUAAUUCUUUUUAACUCUUCUGGUUUGCAAAUCAGUACCUGAUCAGGUAAAGCUAUACGACUGUUAAAUGGAAAAGGAUAAUUGCAUUCAAAAUAAAUCUAUGCCCUCUUCAGCAAAAUUAAAGGUAAGGAGACAAAACACGGAUUAUUCAAAUACUACUAGCAAGUUCCUAGGGAUAAGCUUACACUUUCCCCUUUAGUAUCUAUUCCAGUUCGACCAGCUCGACCAGCCAUCUGUUUGUACCUUGUCCCGUCAAUGAAAUCACGACCAAUUCUGGGUUGUCGAAAAAUGACCCUCCUAGCAGGCAGGUUAACCCCGGCAGCUAAGGUAGAUGUAGCAGUUAAGAUGCGCAAAAGACCUUUACGAUAGCAGGUCUCAAUAAUUUCUCUUUCCUCUACCUGUAAGAAAGAGAACAUUAUAAUCCUUUGAUGACACAUCUAAUAGAAAGGAAGUAUAUACUUAAAAACAACAACCAAGCCUCAAACUACUUGGGGUUGGCUGUAUAGAUCCUUUUGCACCAUUCCACACAAUUAAGUGUAUAAUUUUUUAAAAAAAAAGUACAUGAAUGAAUAUAUACAACACACAUUAUCCACCAAAUAAACCACAUCAUGAAAAAUAGAUAAUAAAAGUUGCAAGAAAUUAGAUUACCAGAACAUAAAUAAAAAAAGAGAGCCAGGAAAUCAUACCGUCAAGCCAGCAUGAUGAUAGGCAACCCCAGAAGGUAGAGUUUCUUCCAACGUUGAAUCCAAUCCUGCGGGACAUCUUCGCAGUGCAUCAAUGGCCGAAGUAAUAUCACCAAACUCGCUCUCAUUCUGAAUGUUAAUAGAAAACUUCUUCACAAAUUUUGAAACAUGCCUCGCAGUUGAUUCACAUCCUUUUCGACUAGAGCAGAAUAUUAACACUGAAUGUCCAUCUUGAACAACCUGAAAUACAUAACAGCCAUCCAAAAUUAUUCAGCUUUCUAAUAAUUAGAUACAGCUUGAUUCACAUUAGAAAAAGAAGGGUCCCUGCCUCAUUGCAUAGUUCCACAAUAUGAUCUGGAUCUUUACCACCCAGGUCAGCUGCUCUUGAAAGUGUUCUAACAAUAUCCAUUUUCUUGUCAUAAAUUGUGUUGCCAACUUUAAUGUAUUCUUCUAGUGGAACCGGUCGGAAAUUUGUCUGGUAUAGUGCGGCCUGCACAAAAGAUUGGUUGCAAAAACAAUUUGAUGAAACUAUCAAAUGCACAAUAAUAUUGAGAAAAACAUAUAAUACAGUCAGAGUGGCAGAGAAACAAGUUCUUGAAAAGGUAAGAGCAAACAAACAUCCUGUACAGUAUAGAAGUACAAUUAAAAGUUGUUGUACCUAGAUUAAUCUGGUCCUAUAUGUUUAUUAAAAGACUCUCACCUAUGGCUGACCAGUAAGUUGAAGAAACAAAAAUUAAAAAAACCUUAGUCGGACAAUCUUUUGUAAACCCACUUACUUGAAGCCAGUCAGCAACUGCUGCCACAUUGGGCAUGGUAGCACUCAUCCCAACAAUUUGCAGACCAUGAGCAGCAUCACCCUUACUGCUUGUACCUGAGCUUUCUCCGCUGCUGGAUUCUGUAUUGCCUUCACCAGCAGCAUAACGAAGCUUUGUCAGCAGAAGUUCCAAAAGGUAACCCCUGCUCUGAUCACCAACCUGUCCACGAAAAAAAAAAAAAAAAGACCACAAUACUUAAAUUAUACAGAUAAAUAAACCUAAUGAAUAAUUUAUGAAAGCUGUAUGAGUCAUACUUAAUCACAUGUCUAAGUAAAGGGAAAUCAUAGAAAACAUCCAGUUUAAGUUUUUCUCUACAUAAAUUUUUCUUCCUAUAUUGUUGAUCAAAUGUCAUUUCACUAGAAAGGAAAAAAAACAUCCAUAUCUAGAGAUUAUUGAAUGAACAAAAAUGCUUGUACCUGAAACAUACAAAGUUUUAGAGGAAGAUUUUGAACAGUGAUUAGGCUCCUCUAUGGGUGACAGGAUUUUUUCACAUUGCACACUCCCAUUAAAGCACCUCUUUACGCUCACAAGUGCCAGUGAAGAUUGAGGAAGAGGGAGGUACAGAGUUGUUAAGAGAGAAUGAAAAGAAGGGUCUGGAGGGUGAAACUUAAAGAGCAUAUUUGUAAUUUUACUCCAUAUUAAUGAAACUUCAAAAUGCCAUCAGCUAAGGACGCAAAGUGUUACCUCAUGCAUCAUGGGGGUUGUUUCGAUGUUCUCACUUAAAUAACAAACAGCCAUAUAGAUAUAUACAAGAAGAGAUAUGGUUUACAAUCAUGGGAACCUAUGAUUCGAAUUACCAUGUGUAGUUCAUCUAUCACCAUGAUUCCAACUUCUGAUAGACGACCCUCUUCCAGUAAUCUGUUUAUUAGGGAGUUUGCUUUCUCUAUUGUGCAGACAGCUACGGAAGUAUCUUUAGGAAGUGUUCCUCCACCCUGGUUGCCAUAAUAACUCCGGACAUGCAUACCAAGAGGUUCCAGAAGGCCCUCCAGAUGUUCUGCCUGGGAAAAUUAAGACACGGAUAAAAUAUACAUGGUAUACAGUAUAUCACAAACAGGUCAUGCACUAAGAAAAGAGUAAGAACAUUUCGUAAUUCCAGGACAAAAUUAUCAAGAGACCUUUUCUGCACAAAUUGAUACAUAGGGAAGUACAAGAAGCGCGAUCUUUCCAGUUGAUAUAACCCGCCGCAACAUCAAAAUUUCCGCAACAAAACUUUUACCAGCACUGUGGCAGGGAAACAUGUUUAAGGAAUGAAUACCGCAUCAUAAGACACAACCAAAACGGGAAAGGAGAAGGAAAACAUUGAUUAGAAUUUGUUCUCCUUCUAAACAACAAGGUUGCUGGCACAAAAUAGAAAUAAGUGAUAGAAAAUGUAUAAAUCUGUUACAGAAUAUAAUCUGAAAUCAAAUUAACAAAAAGUACCUUGUAGACGCGCAAUAUACAAGAUUUCGUCUCUGCAAAACACCAUCCACCUGAAGGCAAUCAACCUGGAAAACAGAACAGCCGAAUACAUCAGAGUCAGACAGACAUAUUGAAAUAUAUGAGCACCAACACAGAAAUCUCAAUAAAUAAAUAAAUACAAAAAGAGUUCUGCAACCCCACUGGAAGCAUAAUUGUGCUUGAACACUGGAGAAAAAUAUUCUAUAGAUGACCUCUGGCAAAUCAAAAGCCAAAAUUGAGAAAUUGUAUAUGAGAGUUUGAACAGUUCAUAUGUACACGCCCUGUGCAGAAAAGCAUUAAAACAAAAGGAAAAGAAAAGGGUAUAUAAUGAAGCCCAAACAACAUAUAGAUAAGAUUAGAAAAAUAAUAUGGAGAGAAUACAAACGGAAAGCACAACACUUGAAAAUCAAAAGUAAAUCAAGUUUUACACCAAGUUAUGCAAUAAAACCAAAACAAAAAGGAUUGGCAACAAGUAGAUAGGUUGGAACUCAGAUGAGCAAUCUUGAAAUAAAAUAAAUGUGCACUGGAAAAGGGAUUACAAAACAUGCUUUAAUACUCCAAAGCUAAGAAAGGUUUUUUUCUAUGAGAUAAAGACUGCAAGAAAGCAAUAUAAAGAUUCAGAGGGUAAAUUUGAACCUCGAUUAAAGAUGCUCCUCUUCACUCUUUGAGUAACAAAAAUAAUACAGGAAUGGCACUACUGCCUGAUAUAACAAAAAAAACACCCCAAACUUUGGCUCUAAUGAUCCAUCUCUGUCCAGGUUAAAAUUGGACUACAUAUCCGAACAUCAAGUUGGUAAGGAUGGAGUGUGACAAGCCAUUGAAUUAAACCAAUGAAGUAGCCGGUUACUUAUCUGAGUUUUACUAAAUGUGAUUGAGUCCAAUACAAACAAAUUCCACAAGAAAUACACUAGUGGCAACCCAAAACUACCCUAAACAUUUGUACAAGUUACACCAGUCUGUGGAAGUCUUCUUAUUUCAUGAUGGUGAAAACCAACCUCAUAAGAAUUAUAUCUGGGGCCAUUACAAGUGGACCCUAGUCUACAUCUGUGUCCCAAAAAUGAAAGAGAUAGGAGAGUCUCUCCAUAGUGGACCCAAACACCCAAAACUGUAACAUGAGGUGGGUAACUUAUGUACAGCAGGAGAGAUAACAAAAUAAACCUUGUCAUUUCCAUCCUGAUCACUUAGCAGGAAUAUAAAGGCAACCUCAAGUAUUGUGAUUCAAAAGUUUGAAGAUACCUGCCAAGGAUACAGUUUUGAAAUUCCUUUCCUCUUAUAUAUGCUGCAUACUUCUAGAGGAAGCCAGUUGCUAAGAUCUAACCGGUCCUUGAGCGGCCCAAAACUUGAAGGAGUUCCAGCUUCAACACACUCAUUAUUAUCAAUUACAUUCCUGGUGUCUUUAACUGGCAAAUGAUAUAUAAUGCUAUCGGCAUCUUGAUUUGGCAAAUCCACUUUCUUUGUGGUCUCUGUAUCCACAGUUGUUUUCUCCUCUUCUUUAUGCAUCUCUUCUCUUGGCUCAUCUUUGAGAUGAUAUGUUACAAUAUUCGCAUUUUGAAGCUUUUGAGAUUAAUAGAACCGUGCUCAGAUUUUUCACUGCUUCUGUCCACAUUUGAAUCAUCUUUAGCACAGGGUGGGGUGCUAACUUCCAAGUUCCUGUCCUCAAAUAGUGAGUCAAGUUGUUUGACAGGCAGUGGAGAUACUUUUUCCAUAUGCUUCCUUAUAAACUCCAAUGAACAACCUCUGCUGCCGGCUUCGUUUAACAAUUCCCGUGAUAGGUUGCCAGACUUCCCAUUAAUGAUAUUUCCAACUGCCUGGACAAAAGGAUUGUCAGCUUCAGAAAAUAAACUAUCAGCAACUUGAAUUGCUUCAUUCCAAAAUGCAUCUCCUGGUGAAAAGAUAGAGCUUCCACGUGUAGAUUUGGGACCAUCACUACCGCGUCCUCUACAAAUUGAUGAUCCUGGUGUACAGCAUUCAGCCAUAUUUACCGUUGAGUUAGCCAUUUUGUUGCAUUUUCUCAAGCUUGUUUGAAGCUGAACAGGAUCGUUACCAACAGCUACCUGCCAUGAAAGUGCAGGAGUAGGAGGAAAAGAAUGGUCAUAAACCAGAGACCUCACAUAUAACAGUGAUAAGACUGUUUCAUAAUACACCAAUUUUACCUCUCCAAAAGAAUUGAAAACAGAUGCUCCAUUUUUAACAACAAAAGCAGAUUGCUUGUCUUCUGGCUUCUUCUCGAUUGGACAAGGGGUUUCAACUUCAGAAUUUAACUGAUUGGACAUGCAUAACCUCUUUUUGGAUGUUUUAUAAUCAACAUCCACUAGCAAUGGACCACCAUUUCGCUUAUGGUCAUUCAACUUUGUCUUUGAAGGUGAAGUUGCAGUUGAUUGAAGUUCACUGCAAUAAAAUGAUUAGCAAUGACAUUUGCAUAGUGAAAACAGACACAAACACACUACAUAACAUAAUUUCAAUGGACAUACAGAAGUUUAAACUACAUUACCCACAAUACAGAGACAAAAAAUCAGUAGCAAACUGUUUUAGUUCCGAAUUCUCCACCCCAUUCCCCACAUCCAAGCAACCCUUCACAACCCUUUCAACCGCAAUAUUCCCCACAUUUCCUGCAUUGGACGAACCUUGAGACAUUUCCUUCUGAACCACUUUGCCGCCUUCACAACUUCCCACGCACAAUCGACCAGACACAAGAGAUUCCUCCUCUUCUUCAUUUGAAACUUCAUCAAUCUCCAAUGUCAAGCUUCUUUUAACCAAGAAACCACCCCCACGGUUAUCAUCCUUCGAGUUCACCAAGUAAUUAUCCAAAGUUCCUUUGGCACUGGGGGACCCUUCAACUACUUUGCUUCUUGCAUCUUUUUCGAUCCUUCCCGACUUCAAAUUCGGCGACGAAGAUUUCCUCUUCCUCGACGCAAAAAACUGUAAAUUAAAUCACAGACACAAGCAAAGCACGUGUUGGAAUAAUUAAAUCCGCACUAAAAUAUAGUAAAUUAGUUCAAAUCUUCUAUGAUCUGAAUUCAAAUUUGACUAAUUUCGAACAAGCACAGUUUUCAAAAGUCAGAUUCAGAUUUUCUUUAUCUUUGAAGAAAGAUCGAUUUUUUUACCGUUGGGAAGUUUCUAGGGUUUAGGGGGCCCACCUGAUCGAUGCGAGUCCGAGGAGAAUCAGACGCCAUGGGAGAAGGAGAUGGGAGAUUUCGACGGUGAUCUGCAAAACCCUGGGAUUUUAUUCACGCGGUGGUGUUUUCUUGGAAGGGAGCUACUACGACGUCGUGAAAGAUUUGAAACUUCAAACUGGUGAGGGCAAGAGCGCCAAGUACUCGCUGGAUCCGAGCACUGUGGGUCUUUAUUCACGUGGGCUCCGUCUAGACUCUACAGGGCGAGAGUGGCAUGGUAGUAAAUUAUGGGAAACUUGAUGGGAGGUGGCUCCUAGCGUCAUUUGAUUUUAUUAAAUUUUGGGCAUAUUUGAUAUUUCAGCGUGUCUAUGCUUUUUAAAAGAUUUGAAGAAAAAAAAAGUAUAUUUUAAAUUGGUUCUUUUAUGUUUAAAUUAUUAUAUUAUAAUGAUAUAUCAAAAAUAAAUUUCAAAAAUAAUAUUAUUUUAAUAUAUUUUUAAAUAAAAAAUAUAUUAAAAAACAAUCAUCACUACUACAACAAUAAACACUACUUAUAUCUCUAUAAAUCUAUACUCAUUUUCUGGUACGGGGUAUUUAUGAAUUUUAUUAGAAUAAAGCUAAGCCUUGUUAAGUUCAAGCAAAUGAAGGUCUCGUUUAUUUGGUAGAAAUUAUUUUUUAAAAACCACUUUACAAACUUUCAUAUUUUUAUUUGUCAUUAGAAAAAUUGGUCAAUAAAAAAUAUUUUUCAGUCAAAAAAAUUAAUUUUUUUUCUAGAAAAGUGUUUUUCUUUUUUUUUGGGAGGAACAUACUUUCUAAAAAUUAUAAAAUUUUUAAAAAUAUCAUAUUAUUUGUUGAUUAUAACAAAAUAUCAUUAGAAAAAUUGUUGAUUAUUAACUUUGGUUCUCAUUUUUAUUAUUGUUAUUUAUUUUUCUCUUAUUAUUUUUUUAAUUAAAAAUUUUUAUCUAUCAAAUUUGGUCCUCAUUCUUUUAAUUUUUACUUAUUUUAUUUGAAAUAAUUUAUAAAAUUAUUAUUAUUAUUAUUUUAAUUUCAUCAUCUUUUAAUUUAUUUUUUAUCUGUUGGAUUUAAUCUCCAUUAUUUUGAUUGUUAUUUAUUUUAUUUGAGGUAAUUUAUGAAAUUAGAUUUUUUUUCAAUUUCAUUCACAUUCAACUGUUUUUAAUUUGUAAGAUUUGUUCCUCUUUGUUUUAAUAAAUUUAAAAUAUAUAUAUUAAUAAGUUAUUUUCCAGCUUAUUUUUCAUAGCAUAACCAAACACUAAAAACAAUAUUGGUAAUUACAAGUAUUUAGAUCUUUUUAUAAUAUCUAGUAGUCAUUAUUAAAUUGAUUAAAGAUAAAUAAAUAUUUUUAUAUUUUAAAUACACGGUAAAAUAACCAAAAUAUCAUUGGAAGUAUAAAUAAAUAAAUUAACAUCAAAGGGCAAUUUUGUAUUUUCAUAAUGAUUUUUUUGUUGUUACCUAUUAAGUAGAGGGACAAUUUAGUAUGUGUAUAUAUUUAUAUAUAUGACCAAAAUGUCCUUAAAAGCAAAAAAAAUUAAAAGUAGUAGUAUGGAGAGCUUUUUUUUGUUAUUGUCAAAUUAGUUUAAAGGCAAUUUAAUAAUUAACCAAAUAUAUAUAAAAAAAAAAAGUUGGGACACGUGUGGUACACUCUCCAAUGUGUGGGAGGAGUCAACGCCCUUUCAAGAAGCAUGUAUGGCGCCUCUCGACAUCAAAAAAAUAUCCUUCCAUUGUGUCAAUGAAAGCGUCAGCACAUCAUUUUCGUGGUGGUGUAGUGCAUGUUGACGAUGGUGGUUAGGUUUGUCGCCAGUGGGCCUUUCUUUUCUUUUCUUUUCAUUCUUCACUCUAAAAAUUACAACUUGCCCCUCUUUGUUAUUGAUAUUUGAACUUCUAUCCUUUUUUUUCUAAUUUUUGCCUUGGCUUAUUUGAAGAAGUAUUAUUUAUUUUUAAUUUCAUCACUCAAUCUUGAUUUUCUAUAAAUUAUUUUUUCCAAUUUGAUCCUCAUUCUUUUGAUUAGUUUUUUGGUCUUUUUUUUAAUUGAUUUUUCUUUCAACUUCACCUUUUAAUCAUAAAUAUGUUGUUAUUUUAUAUUUCAAUUUUAAUAUUUAUUCUUUUAAUUUUUAUUUUUGUUUUGGAUCAUUUUGUGUAAUUGAUAUUCUUAUUCCAUCCAAGUUAAGCCUUCAACAUUUAAUUGGUAGGGAAUUGGACUUCGUGGUUUUUACAAAUAUGGUGUUUUUAGUCCCAUAGGCCACGAGUUUGAAAACUUAACGCGAGUGGACAUUAUUUUUUAUUUUUAGUUUUUUAACUUAAUUUCUUUUUAGUUUUGUUAUUUUUUAUGAUUUUUUUUCUACUAAGUUAUCUCGGUCUCAUGACCUAGGCUGCAAGUUUGGCGGGUUAAUCUAGGUUGGCUUACCUCUUAUUCCCGACAAAGCUAUAAGUUUAUCAUGUUAAUUCGAAUGUGUCGCAAGGUGCAUGUGCCGACACGACGUCGUCUGGUGAUGGCGGGGGCUCUUAUGGUGCCUCAUGUGUGAGGUGUUGUAUCUUGGGAAGGGUUUUUGGAUUUAAUCAUAAAAUUAUGAUUAAUGUUUAGGAGUCGCCACUUAAUAUUAUGGUCACUAGGAACUUAUGGUGUGCGAGAGUUUGGGUAAGGGACUGGUUGUGUAAGGAGAACACGCAUCACCCUAAGUGCACUCUACCUAAGGUAAGCUAUAUUGUUGUUUGAUUGUUUUUUUCUAAGUCAGGUUUUUAUUUGUUGGUAUUUUCUAAGGUUCAUGUUGCGAUGUCGCGGUCGCACAAAUUAAUUACCCUAGCUUCAAACACAACACACAAGAUAGUAUAGAGCAAGCAAGGGGGUCGAUCCCACGAGGAAGAUUUAGUUCAGAUUUUUUAUGCUAUACGUUAUGCAAUUUGGGGGGGUUGGAUGUUAUAUAGGCUAAAGAAAAAUAAAACAGAAAACUAUCAAACAAAAUUUAAUAAAAUCAGAAAAUUAUCAAGAGAACAAACCUUGGUCGCAAUCACACAUCCACCUAUAGAAAUCAGAACCGAUCCUUGAAACGAAAUUCCAGUUUAUAUUCUGAAUUUUUAUCUUUUCUUAACGUUGGUUAAUUAACGGAUCCGCCGUAUAACUAACCCUAACCAACAAAUAAUCACAGUGUCCGCACUAAUGAUUUAAUCCAAUGGCAGCCUUAAGAUCUAGAUAAAUUCAUUAAUCUUAACAACUAAGUUGUCUGCUUAUAUUGCUUUGAUCGAAUGUUCUCCCUAAGAUUAAUAACAUAGAUCCGCUACAAUUAUUAAACUCAGUUGCUUCACAAGUUCAUAUACCACAACUCCGGUUUUGAUAUCAAACUUAGCAAUAAAUUGUCUACAAUAAUAACUUAGAGUCCGCUCUAGCAAUUAAAAUAAACAAUCAUAGGAAAAAUAAGCAUAGGAGAACAAACAUAUUCAUCAUAUAAACUGAAAAGAAAAGGUAAAAUAGAUCUCACAGUUCUUGAAAUCCGAAGGUUUCCGUGUCCUUGCAACCAAGAAAAUGAGUUUAGCCUUGCAUGUUUGUUGAACAACUAAUCAAAAAGAUGGAAGAAUGCAUGAUUUAGGGUUUCUUAGAGUAGGGGGGCGUUUUUCUCCUCUUGGGUGGCUGCCCCCCUUCUCUUCUCUCAUUCUUUUUAUAUGCUAGGAAACCCUAAUCUCUAUUUUACAAAAUAGUCCUCCCUUAAGUAGACAAUUUACAUUUAAGUAGUUCAAUAACUAUUUUCCUAAAAAAGGAGAAAUAGCUUUGCAUGAAAUCUUCAAGCUUUGACUUAGAGGAGCUACAUUGCUGAAAUAAAAACUUGGAUGUCGGUUUAGAUGCUUCGAAACGUAAUCUGGACUCGUUUCUUCACGAAACUUGUUUUUUGGCAGAAUUCAGUUGUCAUCUUUGAAAAAUCAUAUCUCCCUCAUAUGACAUCGGUUUUGGCUGAAAUUUGGAGCGUUUAUAGACCUUUGAGUCAGGAAUCCAAAAUAAUUGAGUUUGCAUCAAUUGGACUUUUGUAGCUCUAGAUAUUCAAGUCGGAAUGACCGAAGGUCAGCAUUGGCAGAUUGCGAGAUUUGACUUUGAAAGCUGCGAUUUCCAUGCUCUUCCUUAUUUUAUUGUCUUGCCUUAGAUUUCCAGAAAGGUAUGGAUGUUAGCUUUUUAAUGCCACUGGAAUCACUUCAUUUCGACCUUUAGAACUCACGUUCUGCACAAAACAUGGACUGAACGUCAAAUCUGCCAAUUACCUUCAAUUUACUCCUUUUUGCAUCUUUCAUCCAAAAGUGCCUUCAAAACAUAAAACAAAUAAUAUCAAGGCAUUUUAUAUAUAAAAAAUAGGCAAAACACUAGUUAAAUGUGGGUGAAACUAUCGAAUAAUAUGGUUGCAUCAGUUCAAUACAAAUCUUUCUUCAUGAGAAAUUUACUACCUUAUUUGAUUAAAUCCUAACAGUUCUAAAGUCUGAAUUUUAGUAUCGCAUUUAUUUAUACUUUAUAUUUUUAAUACCUAAGAGUGUAUUUUAUCGUGUAAUUUUAUACCCCAUAAAUAUUAAAGUCUAUAUCUGGAUCUUAAAAAAAAAUUGGAAAAAGGUUUUUGAUAUGUUAGCAAAACCCUAAUGGAUGAUCAUAAAACUAGUUAUGAUAUCCAUUUUUUGGAUUUUCAAAACAUGAGAAAGAUGCAAUCUUUUAAUGAAAAUAUACUUGGAAAAUUUUUAGGAUUUGGCUAUAUGCAUGAAAACAAAAUAUGUUUUUGAAAAGGGAAAUUGAUUUAAAAGUUUUUGAGAUAUUUUUUAAAAAUAUUUUGAAUUUUUUUAAAAAAUAUAUUUUGAAGAAAACCCAGUAUUUUAAUACCAGAUUUGUAUUUUAUAGUGUAAAUAUAUAACCCGAUAUUAUGCAAAAUUGGUAGAAAAAUAUUUGAGAAAAUCACAAUUUUUUUAAAUGAUUUUUGCAUUUUUUGGAUUUUUUUUGUUUUUAAAUAUUAUAAUACACAUGCGCGCGCGCGCACAUACACAUGGGUUAGGCUGGACUCAGCCUAAGAAAGGUUGGGUGGGCCGAGAUUGGACCAAACUGGUCGGGCCGCUCUUGGCCCAGCAAAACUUUUUAUUCCCCUUUUUGGGCUAGGCUGGGCUAGAACGGGUCCGGCCCAUUCCAAAUGUUAUUUAUUUUGCAGAGUGUGAACUUAUUGUUCACGUUCUGCAUGCAACUACAUAGUUGCAGACGAUGCCGAGAAAAGUGGAAGGCAACCUGGCGGAAAAGAAGGAGUCGCUGUCUAAGUGUUGACAAGAGAUUGGUGAUGGCAUUGAUGGAGAGCUUGGCCGCCGAAGUUACUACUAUGCAGGAAGAAGAAGUGUGCAUAGGAGAGAGAAAAGUGGUGCAACCACCACGUGAGAUGGUUUGAUGGCUACUUGAGGUGGAGAUGAUGGUGAGAAGACAAGUGAUGGUGACUAAAGGCCACGGCACAGAGAGAACUAGUUGCAGGAAAACUGAGUGUGGAAGGAUGCUUUUUGACCAACUUUGCGUCCGAUUUUCUCCUCCAUCAAGCCAUGAAAUCCACCUUUAUUUAUAGGCGGUGGAAGAAGACAAUCUUGUCUACACUAGUAAAAAUUUCAACCCUUGAUUCAGUUGAGAAGGAUCUUAACUGUUGGUUUAAAGUAGGCACUGUCAAAUCUGCAACUGUAGGUUACCCGAGUUGGCCUCUUUGGGGUGGUGCCACAUCCGUUUCUUUGCCAGUGAACCAGUGACGACCAUACCCAGACGUAGAAGGAUAUCUUGUGAUUUAUUCUGUGCAAGUUUUUUCAAAUUUAGUCGACAUUAGGUACAUUAAAUGCAACUGCAAAGUAGGUAUUCAGAUCAACUUUUCAAGAAAAAAAUGAAGAAGAUAAUGAAUAUUACUGAAUGACACGUUGUCUAUCCUUUUUUUUUUUAUGAAACGGCAUCAUUUUAGGUUUGAAUUAGGGAUAUUUUCAAUCUUUAAUUUAGUCCUCCAGCUUUCAAUAGAACCCUUAUUUGACCCUAAACUUUUGAUUUAAUGCAAUUAAGCCCCUGACGAAUUACUAUUUAAGCCCUGGAUUUACACGCCUUUUACAAUAUGGUCCUUGGUCUCGGAUUUAUUCAAUUGAACCCCUAACUGACCAUGAAACUUUUAAUUUCUUCAAUUCCCCCCCAUUUGUGUCAAUUGAACCCCUAUAAUUUGGAGUUUUUUGCAGAUUGAUCCUUGGCUGCAAAUUUUAUCAAUUUAACCUGUAAUUGACCCAAAAACUUCAAUUUUCUUACAAUUUUACCCCUGAUUUCAAUCAAUUAACUUGGAAAAAAAAUUAAAUUUGGUCUUUUAAAAUUCUAAUCUUCUCAAUUAAGCCAAAAUUAGGCUCCCAAACUUAAGUUUUCACCGAUUAAUCCCAAAAUAAAAUUACUUUGACACAUUUAAAGUAUAAUUAAGUCCUUGCACUUAAUUAAAUUCUUUAAUUGGACCUAAAUUAAUUUUUAAAUAUAAUUAAAAAUUAAUUUAGCCCAUGAUUAAAUCAAAUUGGCCCACUAAAAAUUUAAUUAUGUCAUUGGAUUUGCGUUUAACCUUGAAUUUGAGUUUUCUCUCUUUUUUGGGGCAUAAUGGGGUACAAUUAGGCCUUAAAAUUUCCUCCAAAUUUGUUGUUUAAUUCCCGAGCCUGUUUUCUCCACGUUGCCAGCCUUUAUUUUAUUAUUUUAUUUUUAUUUUGAAAAAAAAUGUGAUUUUUAGGGAAUAAUCCAGAAUUGGGUUAUGACAGGAUGGAUUCGAGCCUUUUUUUUGUUCUAUUUUUAUCUAAUCUCGCUCUUUUAUAUUUACUGGUCUAAGAAUUAAGUUAUGUUGUUUGUUCUCUUUUACAUAAAUAUUUUCACAAGUUAUUGUUAUCUUUUUUUUUUUUAAUUCGGUCCAUUUACUAUCAUUACUUUUUUGUUAUGAUCUAAUUAAAAUAAAACCAACUUAUUUGACAUGGUCUAGUCUAUAACUCGAGUAGUAGAUUUUUUCCCCCCUUCUUUAAAGCUCAUUUGCACUACCUAAACAUCACUUUUAAUAUAAACAAAGCCUUACGAUGUAGUAUGGGUACACAACUAGUAAAACCUAAAACAUAAUGACAUUACAACAAAAGCAUAGGGACACAAUCCUUUAAGAAGGAGGUUCAAUGGUACAAAAGCAGCAAUAAUGAUUGUUAAUUUAUAUAUUUUAUGUUUAGCAAGCAAAGAAAGUUUUGCUAGUUGCAAAUAAAAUUAUGCAAGUAUCUAGGUUUUCAUAGAAGACAUUUUUGAUAUUAUAGUAGUUGUCCCUAGCCAAUAAGAAAAAGUGAAUGAAUCUACUAUAAUAAAGUUAUCUAGACCUCAAAAGGCAUGCCUUAAAUGUUUUUAACCCUCAUGCACUGAAAACAAAACCAACUGCAAUUAAGAUUGACAUUUAAGUAAAAGGCAAUGAGAUAAAAGGAAGUUUCAUCAUCAAUAUGCAUUAGGAAAGAAAUAAGAAAAAAAAAUGGAUUAUAUUUAUGGGUUGCCCCGAUGAAGGUGAGGAUUGAUGUUUAUAAAGCAAGUAUUUUAUGAGCUUGGAACUAAAAAUAGGGCAGAAAUUGACUCCAAAAAACAAAAGCAAAACCAAACUUUAUAUAGAGUUUCCAUAAACUUGUGAGAAAUGCCAAAACAUUAGCUUUGGUGUUUAUAUAAAUAGAGUUCUUAAAAAGCCUGGUUUCUUUGAGCACAUUUCAUAGAUUAAGCUUCUUUAAACAUACAUUUAAAAAUAUAACAAAGAUUUGGUCAUUUAGUAAGAGUAUUGUGUCGUCACUUGAUAAUAUAUGAUAGUUCUUAAACAUUAUGGUAUAAUAACUUUAGCAUAGGUUGCAUGGGACCAUUGAUAGAAAUUUUUUGUUUUGUUUUGUCUAGGACCAUCAACAAAAAUCAUGUGAGCAAGAUUGAUGUAAACAUGUUUUGUGUCAGUGGGAAUAAGAGUUACAAUGAGUCUUAUCGUGAAGACAUUUUUAUUAUAUUACGCAUGUAAUAUUGUAAGUUGUUUGUGUUAGCUAUCUAUAUAGGUGUUGUUACCCAUUUUUGGAUUCCCAUAAAAAAAUUGAGAAAAUAAAAAAUAUAUAUUAGGAAGAAAUCCAAAAAAAUAAUAGAAGCAGGAAAAGGAUGCUAGAAUGCCAAAGAAAAGUCAAAAUUGGUUUAGGAGGUUCAAAAAUAAAAAAGGUUAAAAUUUGACAGUAUAUAUUUUACUGAUAAGAGCCUUGAAGACAAGAAAAAUUCAUUUUUUUAAAGAAAAGAAAGAAAAGUUCAAAAUCAGAUGUUUAUAGACUCAAUUAAAUUUUAUCCAAGGUUUAAUUGAAUUUAUAGAGGGUUUGAUUGCAAGAAAAAUUGAUUUUUAAGUCAAUUUAAGCUUUUAUUGGAAGAAAUUAAAGUUCUGGGGUCCAAUUAUAAUUUUGAAAGAGUUGAUUUGGCCAAAUUAGGGGUUUAAUUGCAUAAUUAUUAAAGUUUGAUGGUCAAUUAGGGACUUAAUUGAAACAAUCUAAGACCAAGGACCAAACUAGAAAAGACGCUAACAUUAGGGGAUCCGGUUAGAAUUUUGGCGGGGAUUUAAUUACAAAACUGCAAGAAAUUAAAUGGCUGAAUCAAAAGAAACCAAGCGACGCCGUUUCCACCAUGUCAUCGUUUGCAACAGCUGGUGCUCUGUUAUAAUUAAAGAAGGAGACGUUGGCAGCGAUAAUGGAGCCGUUUCCAAAUCCAGAAGGGAGCGUAUCGCGGUUGACAAACCUCACCACCGUGAUGUACGCUGGCCUACCAAAAACACUCUCAUCCUCUGGCUAUAAUAGCCAGAGGAAGAACCAAACGCAGGGGACGGGAGGAGAGAGGGAGAUCAGACAGACAAGAGAGUUUAUAUUAAAGAGAAAGUACGAGGGAAACAGAGAGGAGAACGUAAGAAAUAGGAGAGAGAGCGGAGAAAUAUUGAGAAAACAAAAGGGAGAGCAGACGAAUCGAACCGAACGGAAAAGGAGGACACAGUAAGGCAGACGACACAGCACCACCUUCAUCUUCGUUUUGCUCAAAACUAGGUACGUUAGAUGGCUUUCUCAGUUCCUGUAUAACGAGAUGAUGCAUGUUUAAUAUGUAAAAGAAGAAAAGAAAACGUGACGAAAUCAACGCUGCAAUCUCUGUUUUUUCUUCUUCUUUUUAUUUUGCUACUGUAAGUAGGAUGAUGAACAGUGUGAAGGUAAAUUAAUUACCUUCACACUGUUCAUGCACGCGUAAAUAAAUAUUAUGCGUGCAUGAGGGAGAUGGGCCGGUCACUGGUUGGGUUGGCCAGGCCCAGCCCAGCUGCGAAAGUUGGAUGGGUCCAGCCCCACCACAUGGGCCGGGCUGGGCCCAGUCCCAAAAAAUAAAAAAUAAAAUAAUAAAAAAAAUGUUUCAAAAAAAUCUGUGAUAUUUUCUUGUUUUCUACUGUAUUUUAAUCAACAUCAAUUUGUCUUUUUAUACUGUAAAGAUACAAGUUUGGUGUUAAAAUACCCGUUUUUCGACAAUUUUUUUUUAUGCAUACGGCCAAGUCUCUCAAAAAAAUAAAUCAUAUUGUAUUUUCAUAUAUAUAUAUAUAUACACACACACAUAAAAAAAAAAUUCAAAAAUAUGUAUUAGCAUGCAUUUUGGCUUUAAUAACCAGUUUAUUAAAGUCACGAGAACUAGACCAAUAUUUCAAAAUUUUCAAAAAAAUUAUUUUGUUUUCUUUUAAUAUCUGGGUUUACGACCUUAUACGUAAGACGUAUUCCAGUUAUUAAAAUUGUUUUGUUGACGCUAGAAUUACUCGAUAAGAUAAGGAUCUCCUUAUCGAUGAGAACUUUUCUUAAACUAUAGAUGAACCAACAAUUAGAAAACACGACCAGACCUUAGAUUUUAUCAGAUAAUUAAAUAAUGCAGCCUACCUUAGGUAAAACGUAUUUGGGGUGGUAAAACCUUCUCUUUACGUAACUAGUCUCAAUCUCUGAGACCAGUUAGGGUUCCUAGUGACCAAAAUACUAGGUGGCAACCCCCACUCCAAUUUUUUCACUAAUAAAAGACAAGAAUUCCUUGUCUCCCCACAUUUUCCGUAUGAGAUAGAUUUGAAGGGUGAAUGUUCUCACCACGACACCGCACACGUGCGACAAUAGGUAAAAUAUUCAUUGAGUUUAUGGUUAAAAAAAAAUUAGUAUGCAAAAAGUAACAACAGAAGCAAACUCUAAAUAGAGCUUCCAUGAGCCUAUGAUAAAUGCUAAAUAUUUUAUCUAGUGUUAAUAUAAAUAGAGUUCUCAUAAUCCUAUUUUUUUAGUACAUUUCAUAAGUCAUGCAUACUGAAAUAGAAUUUCAAAUGUGUAAAAUAUAAUUGAUUGUAAUGUCAAAGAUCAAGGUGGGAGUUUUAAUAGACCACAAAGAUGGACUUGUUAAGGGGUAAGAAAGAGCUAGCUAUUUGGAUGAAAGCUAUAAAAUUUAAAUAAGAUGAGCUUGGGCUUCAAUCACUACCAACCUAUAUAGGAGUUUCCCCUCUUCACGAUGGUGUCAGCCUUGAUUGAUGUUUGUACCCCACCUGUCACAUGGAAAUCCUUCACUUCUUCUCUUAGCUUUAACUGAUUCAAAAAUUUCAAUAGUUUUUUGUCUAACUUUGAAUUAAUGGAAAAGGAGCUACAAGUCUCUAAAUGGAAUGUAGUUUGCUCUAGUUGAAGAAAAACAUAUUUUCUACAAUGUCCAUGGUUUAUUUUGUUCCAAUAACCUUUUAUUUGCCAAAAUUAAAUCGAAGAAAAGAAACCCCUAGUCAACCAUUUUUGGACUAGUUUUAACUUUUUUCCCCCAACUCUUUCAAGAAACUCUCAAAGUUUGCGAGGGACCUAGAGACAAGGAAAACUGACAGAAAAAAGAGAGAGAAAAAAAGAAUCUCUAACAAAAUAAAGAAGUGAAUCCUCUGCAUGUUAGUUUAGAACACCACUAAGGGGAAGGUGGUUUUAUAACCUUUUGCCCUUGAAAGGCUAUAAAAAGGAAAAGAAAAGAAUGAGAGGGGGUCAGAUGCAAGAAAAAAAAACACAUAAAAUAAAAGAAAAAUGAGAUAACAAUCUUUAGGCUGUUGGAAUAGAAAGGGAGAAAAGAGGUGCCAAAGAAAAAAGGAAGAUAUUCUUGAUCAUUUAGAGCUCGAAUAGAGGUUAUGAAUCCAAUUAGUAAUCAACAAGGAAUCAAAAGAAAACCCAUUGCUCCCAUUUGUUUAGCUAAGUCUUCAACUCUUAAUGAGUGGGGUAGAGCCCAAUGAGCACUCUUCUCCUCCCCUUUUGAUCCAUGUUAUAGUUGUUAUUUGAUAGUUUAGUAUUUUGUUCUAGAUGCUUUUAAAAUGUGAUUUGAUCUUUGUUAUUUUUAAUGUGUUAUUUUUAGUCAUUUUUAUGGUCUUUAUAUCUAUCUUUCUUGUUGUUUAGGUCUAUUUUCUGGGCAAUAACUACCAUAAGUUUAUGUAUUUUUAGUCUAGGAUGUGUUUUGGAUUAAUGCUUUUAACUUGUUUGAUUUCUAGAUGCUUUUGUUAAAGGGGGUUUAUACACUGUUAUAUUGUUUUUGUUUUCCUGUUUUUCUAGUCUAUUUAAAGCAUGUUCUUGCCUUUUGAGUUUUGGUUGAGUCAUGUGUGAUGAUAAAGUAUUUGGUUUGGAUCCAAAUUGCAUAAAAUCGUAGGUUGCUUUAGGUUUACAUAUUUUAAACUUAGAUUUUUUUUAUGCAUAAUUAUGAUGAUUUGUUGUUUUUAUUAGUUCUUUUUAAUUUAGAUAUGUUUGGUUUUGAUAAUGUAUCUUGCUAGACCAAGAAGCAUGUUUUGAAGGUCAACAAUGGCAGUGUUUUGUACGUAGUUCUGGGUUUAAAUUCAUCCUAUGAAUAUUGUCAUAUGUACUAGUUUUAGAGCUCGUUUUGAUUCAAUUAUGUUUCUGCAAGUUCAUAUAUCUUUAUUAGUAAUUAAUCUAGGACAUUCAAGCAUCAAUAUCAUGUUUUUGUGGGUUUAAUCUUAGGAUUUUAAUUUUUGAAUCAAAACUCAUUCUUGACAAAUUUGUGUGGCUUUUGAGUGAUGAUUGAGGCAAACUGACACUUAAUUCUUGACAUUGCGUAUAAAAGCAUGCUUUUUUAUUGCUUAAUACUUAGUCUCCUUCGUGUUUUGUGUUUCUAGGUUCAUGAAGAACAAUCAUCGUGUUCUUUAUUUGAUUAUGUGUUUGAUCUAUUUUUCUAUGAAAUUUCUAUUUUUUUUUGUGUUUUUUAACUUUGAUUUGUUUCGGUUUAAACCUUUGCUUUCGGUUAGUUUUUUGGUCAAAUCUCAUUUUUUUUUCUCGGUUCAUAGUUGAACCAGCACUUUGGGUUGACCUGAACAAGUUGAUUUUUGGUCAAUUUGUAAGGCUUUGUUUGGUUAAAUUUUCUUUUUGUUAAGGUUUUUUUGGGUCAAAGGGGUUAUUUGGCCAACACACCUUAUACCUACUUUGACAAUUUUAUGUUUUUGAAUAAAAUGGUUUCGCCAAAUAUACCCCUAAAUAAUUUCAAACAAAUAUGAAAAAAUUCAAGGACCUCUUUUAAAUUUAAAUUCAAGGAUAGUAAACUUAUAUUAUAAACUAUUGACCCAAUAUUAAAAUACUUUUCUUUUGUUAAAAUCUCCUAAAAAAUCAAAAUUCCUUAUAAAAAAUACCAAAAAAUGUGUUAUUUAUUUAUUUAUUUAUGUGUAUAUACCAAAAAGUCUCUCAAAAAAAUAGAUUAUAUAUGCAUAUUUUCUUAUAUAAAAACUCAUAAAAAAAUAGUUUUUCUUACUUUGAAUACAUCUUUAUUUAGGUUUAAUAACUAGUUUAUUAAAUACAUGAGAAUUUAGCCCAUAUUUCAAAAACACCAAAAAAUUAUUUUUGUUUCGUUCAAUAUUAGGGAUUGCAAACUUAUACGUAAGAUGUAUUUUUUAUUUUAAAUAAAGAAGUUUUUUAUUAUUUAUUUUAUAGGUUCUAAAUCUUUUUACCAAAAAUUUAUUUUGUUUAAUAUAUUAAAUUGUGAACUUGUACGUAAGAUAUAUUUCUGGUAUUAAAUAAAAAGACAGUUUCUUUUAUUUAUAUGGCUCUGUUCAUCCUAAACUUUUAACCAGAUUUUAUUUAAUAUAUUUUAAGGUUCCUCAUAAAAUUUCAGCUCAAUGUGAUGGCCGGAAUUAAAAUUACGCCUAAUAAUAUAAGACUAGUCAAAUUGUGAUUUUUCGUCACCUUUUCCGAAUUUCUCUAAAAAUUCUGAAAUUUUAACCCAAGCUAAGGCAUCAUAUUAGAAGGCUCCACAUAAAUUUUUAGAAUUUUAUGAUAACCCGAUCAAGAGUUAUGAAUUUUUUUCUUUUUGUUUUACAAGAAACUAGUCAAUUUAUAAUUUUUCGCCUAGAGGUUUUACAAAAAUGAACUGAAAAAUAAUUUAUUAUUGAAUUAAUAUUUUUUAAAAUUUUAUCUAAUAUAUAUAUAAAAUAUUUAAUAUAAAUAUUUAAUCACUUACAAUAAAAUAAUGAAAUCUAAAAAGUAUAAUGAUGAAUUUUGUUUUAUUAUUAUAUGCUAUAUUCAUACAUAGCUUAUUUUAUAAAAUAUAACUAUAUAUGUCAUAUCAUAUUAUAUAGAAAUAAACAUGUGAAAUAUUUUUUAAGUAAAACAUAUUAAUAUAUUUUUUUCAAUUUUAAAAGCUUAAAAUAAGUUUUUUUUUCAUAUGAAGAAAGCCAAAUUAGUUUAUGGUAAGAGUUAUAUAUUUGGGUUUUUUUUUUGGUAUGAAGUAAUUUUUAAAAGAUAAAUAGAUACAAAAAUAUUUUGAUGGGUUUUUUGGAUAAAUAUUUUUUUUUUACGGGUAAAGGCAAUUAUCCCUUUAAUAUAUAUCAAAUAAUCAUCAAGAAAUAAAUAUAAAUACCUAACAUCAAACAUAAUCAUGCAUAAAUAUUACGUUUCGAUGUCAUAUACAUACAUAUUAGUGCAAAUUACAAACAUAAACAUGCUAGACUGAAUUAAACAAGUUAACAUACUUGUAAUAUAACAAACAUAGUCUGAACCCAAAUUUUGAACAUAUUCAAACCAUCUUAGCAAGCAGACAUGUAGUAGUGUUGUGUCACAAAGUUCUGAACCCAAAUUUUCCUCAAAUUAGCAUUUUUUGCCAACAUUUCAUUUUGAACCAAAUGAUCAAAUGCAUCCCCAAGAGUUAUCUCAUCAAAGCCUUCAACUUUCAUCACUUCCGCAUACAACGCAUUAACAUCAAGUUGAUUUUUGCUGAGACUUUGAAUUGCAAAUGAUACAUCUCUAAUCUGUUUAGACAACUUUUCAACACCAUCAUCUUCAUACAUGCGAUUUCUCUUUCUAUGUUGCCUCUUUUGUGUACUAGAGGAAGAUGUCUCUUUUCCCUUUGAAGUUUCUUCAUAUUCCCCUUCGUUUUCAAUUGAAUUUGAUUGCUCUUCAGUGUUCUCUUCCAAGUUGACAUCAGCAUAUGAUUUGGCAUAAUUUCUGGUUGUCAUGUCUUUUCCAACAACAAUUGUCAUUGCUCGUACAUAUCAAGUUUUUUUUGAGAUACUUGUCAUGAUUGGGAUGUGCAUGUUCAUAAAGUAUAGAAUAUGCAAUUUUUUAGUUCAUUGUAUAACAUUUUAGAAACAAAAGUAAAUAUAAAAAUUAUAAAGAGUAUAAUAUUUAUCAUACCUUUACUUCUUCAUCAUAUACAUCUUUCGAAACUGUAAUCAUCUUCAAACAAUCAUCCCAGCCAAAGCCACUUUUAUUUUUAAGCUUGGUUAUUAUUCCCCAUUCUUUUUUCACAGUCUUGAGAUGAUUAUCAACAUGCUUAGGCUCGCAUUGCACAUUGAACUUUUGACUGAUUUCUGUAGCCACCUUAACAAAAGAUUCUGCUUUAAAGGUGGAAGAAGGUUUGCCUCCUUUAAGUGCCUCCUCAGCUAAUAUCUCAAGCAACAUGUGAGACAUAGGCUUAGACCAUGUGAAGUGCUUGCCCUUGCAUUUUUCAUUAUGCGUGGAACUCAUUUCUACAAAAAAGAAAUUACAAAUUUAUACAAAAUAAAAUCAUACAAUAUUUAGAUUUAAUAAAUUUCAUAUAAAAACUACAAUUAAUAAUUAAAAGAGAAAUUAUAAUAAAGUCAACAUCUACUCCAAACACAUAACAAAUAUAAUACAAACUCAAGCAACAUAAUAAAAAAAACACAUAUAAUUAACACUCAAUUACUAGUUUCUUUGAGUGUUAUAAUCAUUCCACAUGGUUGAGCAAUCAUUUCUCUUUUUGUUAUCCACUCCCUAUUCUCUUCCCUUUCCUCCCGUUGACUUAAGUUGAUUGUUCGUCUAAUUGGUUCACUAUCCGAACAUAUUUCUUCCAUAAGAAAGUCAUAAGGAUCAACCCCCAUUAUGUGAUUAUGAAUAAUACAACAUGCAAGCACAACAUCUACUUGUGUUUCAUAAGACCAAAAAGAUUUUCCAUCAAUUGAUCUAAAACGACUCUUCAAAAUACCAAACCCUCGCUCAAUAGCGGUUCUCAAUGAAGAGUGUCGAAGAUUAAAUAACUCCUUUUCAUUUUCUAGUGAACGUUCUGUAAACUCAUUCAAGUGAUAUCGAACUCCACGAAAAGGAGAAAUGAUUCCUUUUCGAAUACCGUAACCAGCAUCACCAAGAUAAUAUUUCCCUACAAAAUAAUAAAAAAAAAACCUAUUACUAUCUUUAUAUAAUAAGACAUUUUAUAUGUUUAUUGCAUAUAAUACAUAUUUUAUUAUAUACCUUCUGGAAUUUUUAGACCAUUAGAUCUUGAUAAUGCAUCACCUAAAACCCGUGAAUCAUGGGCACUUCCUUCCCAGCCAGCUAAAACAUAUAUAAACUUCAAAUCAAAAGUUAUAGCUGCUAAAACAUUUUGUGUUGUUCCUUCUUUUCGACCUCGAAACUUUCCUUGAAUCUCAACAGGAACAUUUGCAGGAACAUGGGUACCAUCAAUUGCUCCCACACAAUCCUAUAUAAACAUGAAAAAAUAAUUUAUAACAUUUUCUUCUGAAUGUAAUUAAUUAAUUCAUAAAAAUAUUGGUAUUGUUUUCAUAUCUUAAAAUGAGGAUAGAAUCUUCUAUUAUUCAUUAUCUCUGCUGGAACUGUAUUCUUUGGCUCUUUAAUAAAGUGUUUGUAUAACUUAAGAAUUGCUUUUAAAACAAUUUUAAAGUAACGAUGGAUAGUUUCAACAGACCUAUAGUAUAUACCACUAAUAACCCGAAAUCUUUGGUUUUGGCCUACAAUUUGUAAGAACACAAUUACUUGCUCCCUAAUAGACACAUUUUGAGUUGAUCGUAAUAGGUUACGAUUUGUGAGAACAUCACACAAUCUAUAUAAGACAACAGGUUUCAUACGAAUCUGUUCAACUCAAUGUCGAUCACCUCGGUUCAAAAUGCUGUCAAUAUAGAAUUCUCGUUGAGCAAUUGCAUUUAUACGUGGUUCUCUUGGUAUAUAAAUUCUAUUUUUUUCUUCUUCAAUAAUAGCUACCCCUGUAGCUAUCACAGUUACAGUUGUUCCCAUGCAUGCUGCAUUAAUUAUCUUACUAUCCAUAAUAUGAAAUUGAAGUUUUCUGAUAACAAAACCUAAAAAUAUAAGGAAAUAAAUAUUAAAACAAGCAUAUAAAAUACUUACACAAUCAAUACAAUAAAUUAUGCUCAAAGAAGCUGACAAUAUACAAUUCAGAAGUUCACAACGAUCAAUAACAUCAAUCAUUUUAAUUCUAAAAAAUAAUGUGAUUAUCAAAUAAUUAAAUAAACAUAAGUUUUGAAAAUCACCUCGUAUGCGGCAACACAACACACAAUCGAGUUCAUGGCUAGGUUCAAUUCUAUUCUAUUUUGGAACAAUACCUACUUAGAGUUAUAUUACAUUAUAUUUUAUUAUGCUAUUAAACACAUAAUUUAUAACUGAAAUUAUAAAUAUAGUAUAAUUGGUUCUACUACAACAAUAUGAAUAAAUUAACAUAAUUUUCUUUGUUCUCUCGCCUAUCUCUAACUCUCUCCUAUAAAAUUAAAGACGGUUUCAUUCCUUCUCCUCAUUCGAUUUCAUUCCCUUUCCCCGUGUUAUAAUCGUUCGGUUUCUCCUUAUUCGGUUUCUCCUCAUUCGGUUUCAUUCGGUUUCAUUCCCCUUCCCAUCAUCAUUCGGUUUCUCCUCCCAUUCGGUUUCAUUCCACUGUCAUUCCCAUCUCAUUCAGUUUGUCAUUCGGUUUCUCGUUCCCCUAGCAAUCAGUUUCUCAUUCCCCUCUCAAUCGGUUUCUCUCAUUCGAUUUCUCAAAUUCCUCUUUCAUUCCCCUCUGAUUCCCCUAAUUCCCCUCAUUCCCCCUAAUAAUUUUAUCGCCUAUCACUGUUCGUUCUCUCUUGCCUAUCACAGAUCAUUCUCUCUCGGUUGUCUCUCUUUCCCUGUUCUCUCUCGGCUCUGUCUCACCAAUCCCUGUUCUCUGAAGAAGCAGGACACUAUCACAUAUUGAAGGGGUAAGGAGCAGGAGAGCUAGACCUCAAGGAUCUACUCAUCAUCCCCAGUUCUCAUCCCUCUCUCACCUGACAGUUUACCCUCAUGUUUGCAUGUCUCUCUUUGUGCUGGAUCCGUCACAAGGUAGGGGCUGGUUAGGUCUUGUUGGGGAUUUUGAUUUCUCUCAAGAAGCUGCCGAAUGUGGAAGAAAAAAUGUGUGUUUUAUGGCUUGAUUGUGAUGAGAAAUUGAUUGGGUUUUUCUGCAGAUGUUGUUUGAAUGUGACGAGGAGAUGAAGAAGAAAAAUGGGUAUGAGAAAAAAAUUGACAGGCAGAAGAUAAAUUAACAGAAAUAAAAGUUUUUUUUGGAACAGACAAACAAGAUCAAGGAUUAUUUGCUAUUAUUCUUGCAGAUCUAAAAAAUACGAAGAAGAUGAAAACAUAAAGGAAAUAAUACAGAAAUUUGUUGAGGGAAAAAAUACUUGAACUGAAGAGUGUGAUUCUUCAAAUCUUCUUGCUUUUCAAUUGUUUUUGUUUUUGGACAGAGAUGCAGAGAGGGGAAAGAUAUGUUUUAUCAACGGAGCUAAAAAUAGGAAAGUGUUUUCCUUUUGACAAGGAAAGGAAAACACUUUCAAGUGGGGAAAGUGAAAUUUUUAGUUGACUGGAAUUAGUUUUCCUUUGACUUAUUUUCCGGAUAGUCACCAAACAUGGAAAACUAAGGAAAAUGAAUUCCUGGAAUUCAUUUUCCUUGAAACAAACAAGGCAUUAAGGGAAACUUGAAGGGCAUAAUUUAUGAAAUGACAAAAUUAAUGUUUUGAUCAAAUGAAUAAAUUAGUGGCUAGAAAAAAGGGUGUGAUGAAUAUGUAGAUUAAUGAAAUAAUGAGUUUAAAAGCCUAUAUGAGACAUAAUGAAUGUUCAAAAUAAAUAAAUUAAAUUUAGUUGAUCAAAAGGUAGAAAAAAGAUUGAGAUGAACUAAAGAAAAUAAUUAGCUGAAAAAAGCAUAACAAACAUUUGAAUUGAAAGAACGUGGUUGGUAAUUCAAGGUAGCUUCUACGAUGUUGAAAUGGGAUUAAAUAAUUAAUGAAUCCAAAAUUUAACUAGAUCAUAAGUUAAAUAUAUGACAUGAUAUUAAAGAAUCCCUAAAUGAAGCCAAGUAUAGUUAAGGAAUAGUGAAAUGGAAAGUGAUAUGAAAUAUAUUACAUUGUUAAUUGAGAAAUAAUAUGGAUUUGAUAUACUUGUGUAUAGAAAUGUAUUAUAUAUGAAAAAAAUGGCAAAACACAUGUAAUUUAAGGAAGGGAGGCUCAUUAAAUGAUAGAUCGAGUGAAACAAGUGAGGAUUAUGGUAUAGGUAAAAAAAGUUAAUGAAAUGAUACUUAGUGUUUAUUAAUUCUAGAAUUUGAUUAAUCGAUUACUUGGAUAGAAUUUUAGUGUACAAAAAAUCUUGUUUUUUGUUUUAUGUGUUUUAUAGGUGUAUCCAUCUAGGGUAUCUUGAGUUCAUGCUCCAAAUCUUUAUUGGUUAUUUUAUUUUGAGAGAGAUUUUGUAAAACUAGUUAAAUUUAUAGAGUAAAUCAUUAUAUGUAAUUAAGCCAUAACUAAUAUAAGGAUUGAAAUAAUAAUGAAAAAAAGGAUGAAUACCUUGUUAUGUGAAAUUAUGAGACUGGGCUUCCAAUAUGAUAUUGUGAGUGUGUGUAUAAAUUUACACAUUUCUUAUGCAUAUUAUAGCUAAGAUUUACAAGGCAUUACAAUUGCAGUUUUGUAUGCAUCUAAGUUGUAGUAUAGUAUGUAAAUAUAAGAAUACUUACAUGUGUUUAAUCAUUGUCUACCUUAUUAAGUAUUUCAGGUCCAUCUUAUCUACCACCAUCUUCUCAAUCUCUCUAUUUUUUUUUUUCAACCAUAAGGAUUGUAAAGUGAUGAAAAUAAAGUUUUGAUCCAAAAAACAAAAGUUUCAAACUAAAAAAAACCAAAACUAAAAAUGAAAAAAAUCAUACUAGCAAAGAUUUGUAAAAUAGCACCUCAUGAAUAACAUUAAAAUAAAUUGCAUUUUUUUAUCACAAUCAAAUUUAGUAUAACAGUUUUUAUUUUUUGCAACCAAUAAAACUGACUUUUAUCUUAUAAGAUGGAACAUCAAUAAAUUAUUGAGAAGUUUUUUUUAAUAUCAUGAUAACCCUAUAACAUGCUAAUUUAAACAAUAAAUCAAGCCAAAACCCUUGUCAAGACACCAUACAAUGAUGAAAUUUAAAAAAUAGUAAUUAAAUUAUAAAACUAUAAAAAAUAGGAGACACUAUUGAAAUCUACAUUAAUUUCACUCACAACACACAAUAUAUUGUUAGUGAAUACGUCUUGUAGCUAAUAGUUGGUUACACGUUCCAUUGAUUUUAUUAAUUUAAAACAUAUUUAUUAUUAAUAAAUGUUUUAUUUAUCUUUAAUAUUUAUUUAUAUUUGAUUAAUAAAUCUAAUGUAUAAUUAAUGAAUAUAGAGUAAAAAUAAAACUAAUGGGACAAAAAUACUUUACAAAAAAAAUUAUAAAGUUAUUAUAAUUAUGAGAUUCUUGUUGUAUCAAAGUAUUGUUCGGAAUAAUUUGUUCCUAAAUGUUCAUGGUCAAUGUUCUAUUAAUAUUGAACAUUAAUUAGAGUUGUUGAGACCAAUGCAUAUUAUGUUUUUUCCUUUAUAAAAGAAAGCAAUUGCUCUCAUAAACUGAGGUAUAAGAGAUAACUAAAACUAAUAUACAAGUAUUUGUUAGAUGACAUAGACACUGAAUUGACUUGCAAGGAAUUCCGUGUGGAGAUCACCUUGUCUAUGAAAAUGUUCUCGUGAUAGUCGUAUAAGUUAUUCUUAGACUUGAGAUUACUGAAUUAUAUUAUAUAGAGAGUUAUGCUUUGAUCUCGACCACACAUUGUUAUAAUCAAGAGUAACAAACUGGCAAAUAUUGAGUAUAACAUAAACUAUAUGAAUGUAUUUAAGUAAUUAAAAGAUGAUUCACCAUUCUAGGUGAAUUAGGAAAAAAAUUUCAUUUGUUUUUAAAUAGUAUUGAUUGUGAAAUUCUUGACCAAUGUAAAAAGAGUUUCAAAACCGUAUUCAAAGAAUCAAUGCCUAUAACGUUGAGAACUAAAAUGAUCUAAUAAAGCAGACAUACUUCAGUCCAUGCUAUAAUAUUUAAAUUAAAAUACUCAUGAUGAAGGGAUAAUAAUUACACUGAAAAACUAGUCACUAAAAAGUUAAGUUAAAUCACUUAUGACUUUCCUAAUAUUUAAAGGAUCAUGGCAUGUUGUUAGACAUUGUACUUGAUCUUCAAAUAUAAAUCAAUUAAAUAUUAAAUUGAUAAUAAAUUAAAAAUUUUAAUUUAUUUUAUUUUAUUUCAUUUAGGAUUAUAAUUUAUAUUGAGGCCAACUUAUUAGGAAAUCUAAUGGGUUACACACAUAAAAAUCAUUGGUCAUGAAUUUAAAUCGAAUGAUUAAUCAAAUGUGACUUGAUUGUAAAUACAUUUUAGAAAUUAAGAAUUAUAAUGUAAUUAAUACAAGAGAUUACAAUUAUAUACCUAGAAAUAAUCAAGAAAAGACUUGAUUUGAUAAAUUUCUAAAAUUAACCUAAAAUAAUAUAUAUGAUAUUGUUAAUUUAAGGGGUAACUUGAUAUUUUAUCAUUUAUAUUAUUUUUUAGGUUUUUUUAUAAAUAGAAAAUUAUACCUCUUAUUUCCACCAUGUAGAGAAGAGUGAAAAAAGUAUAGUAUGCAAACACUUAAAAUACAAAAAGAAAAAAACUUGUACUCUAAGUUAUAGUAAUUUCUCUCUUCUAAAAGGGUUUAAGAGUUCUCGCUAGUGGUUCAUGUGGAUUAUCGUUAGUAGCCAGACAUUUAACGACUUGUGGUUUUUGACAACUCAACCUUGAAGCAAAUAUUCAAUAUCCAAAGAACACCUAAUCUCUAGGUAAUCUUCACAUAAAUAUCAAACAACUCUAGAUAUAUCUAACAUAAUCAUUUGGAGUCUCAAAAAAUUUUAAAUUUAUUAUUUCCGUUGUGUAUAUGUGUUUCAAGAAACCCAACAUAUACUCCAGAAUAAACUCACCACAACAAUUUGUUUUCUUCUUAAUUUUAGUUUGUUUGGUAUUGCGAUAAGUUUUGUGAUUGUGGUAUGGAAAAAAAAAGUUUUAAAAAAUCACUUUUAGUUAUGGUUGCUUUGAUUAAAAUAUAUGUUUAAUUAAAAUUAUGGUUAAAGUUAUUGUUCAAUAAAAAGUAUGUCCAAAAUGUUUCGUUAAAACAAUGGUUGAAAUUGAUGGUGGUACUAAAAUGAUUUAAAAGUAUAAAUAUUAAUUUUUUAUUUUCCAAUUACAUUAAUGUGCAUUUUAUUAUUAAUAUAUUUUAAAAAACCAAUUAUGUGAAUUACAACAUUGAUUUUAUUAAAUUUACUGUAAUACCAUCACAAACAUGAUCUAUAUAGGAAGACCUCUCGCUUUAACGGGAUUGUGAACAUAAAACCACAUCGAUUAAAAAAAUUCUUAGGAACAAAAUCAAGAUGUGGAUCAAAUUAUAUAAAUAAUUGGUGAGAAUUAAUAUAUAUAUAUAUAUAUAUAUAUAUAUAUAUAUAUAAUUUAGACAUAUAGAAACUUGGAUCUUGGCAAAUUUUUAUCUUAUACAAAAACUAUCCUGCAUUAAUUUUUUGUUAUUUUGGUUUGGGUAGCAAAUUUAACAAUAAUAAAACACAACUUCAUAAAAAUUAGAGGAAAAAUAUAGUGAAAACAUGCAGAAAUAUCGUCUAAGAAAGCGAGUUCAAAACUCAUUUAAUGGUAAGGCUCAUUAAAAACUAAAUUUAAAAAAAAUAAAGAAAUAGCUUUUUAGAUAAUUUUGAUAUAUUACUAUUAAAAAUGUAUUUUUUAAAAUAAUAUUUUAAUAUAUUUUUAAAUAAAAAAUAUUUAAAAAAAUCAAAAAAAUUAAAUAUCAAAUAGACUUUUUAUACGAAAACUUUUUUAAAUCCCAUAGAAAUCUAAGGGGGUGUUUAUUUGUACGGAAAAUUGUUUUUUGGAAACUAUUUUUCAAACUUUUCUGUGUUUAUUUGUCAUUAUAAAAGUUGGUCAACAUAAAACACUUUAUAAUCAAAGGAAAAUUUGGCUUGAUUUCUAGAAAAGUGUUUUCUUUUUAUUUUGAAACAGAAAACAUUUUCCAGAAGUUGUGAAAAAUUUAGAAAUAUCAUAUUAUUUGCUGAUUGCAUUAAAUUUGAUUCCCAAACUUUUGAUUGAUAUAUAUUUUGUUUGAUUUUUUUUUUAAUUUUAUCCUUUAAAAUUUGAUUUAAUUUGAUUUUUAUAUUAACUUUGAUUCUUAUUUUUAUAAUUGUUAUUUGCUUUUCUCUUACUAAUGUUUUAAUUGAAAUUUUUUAUCCAAAAAAUUUGCUCUUCAUUCUUUUGAUUGUUACUUAUUUUAUUUGAAAUAAUUUAUGAAAUUGUAAUUAUUAUUAUUUUAAUUUUAUUAUUUUAUAAUUUUUUUAUUUGUUAGAUUUGGUCUCUAUUAUUUUGAUUAUUAUUUAUUUUAUUUUAGAUAAUUUAUAAAACUAGAUUUUUUUCAAUUUCAUUCUUAUUCAACUUUUUAAUUUGUAAGAUUUGUUCCUCAUUAUUUUAAUGAACUUGAUAAAAAAAAUAAAAUAUCAAUAAGUUAUUUUCUAGUUUAUUUUUUAUAAAAUAACCAAACACUGAAAAAUAUUUUUUAACUUAUUUUUCAUAAUACUAUUGAACAUUAAAAAAUAAGUCAAGAGAAACCACUUAAAAAAAACACUUUCGAAACAGGAUAUAAGUGAAAUAUUACUAAAAUGCAGGGAGAAAAACAUAAAUUAUGUAACAUUUUCAAUUACCCGUAUGUCCCGAGGCACAUUCAAAUCAAAUCAACAAAUUAGAAUUAAAAAAAAAGAGAGAAAGAUGAAAAAAACGCAGAUAAAUUGAGCGGGCUUUCGCUAGGGUUUUCACAGAACAAAAACCCACUCGCUAUCUCUUCUUCUUCUUCGAUUUUUUCCCCGGCGAUUUACUAUUCUCAUUUGUCACCACCAUUGCGGUUUUGAGCGAGCAGAUGCAUUACUCCGUGCACUAAACGGCACCGUUUGCUUUCCCUAGAACCUAUAAUACACAACUGGACUCAGGUUCUGUUUCCUUUUGAAAUUCUUUUGAUGAUCACGUAAUCCGAAAUCCGAAAUCCGAGAAAAGUACACAGUAUGUUUUUGAGCUGUUUUUUUAUAUGAUAUUAUUUGAAUUUAAUUUAGUAGACAAUUUUUAUUUUUAUUUUUCAUGAAAGGAGUUGCUGUUUACUUUAUUUUCGGGCGACAUGCAUGAAUGCUAUGUGAUUGUGCAUUUUUUUUUUUCGCGGUGCCAAUUUUGUUUAAUUAUGCAUAAAUACAGAUAAUUACUGUGGCAUCGGUAUGCCAUUAUGGAAUUAGUUUUUGUCUCUAAUAAUUUGAAACAUAUCAGCUCUUGAGGUUUUUUCUUGCGAUGUUGUUAUUAUACCACAGCAGCAUUUCAUUUCACCAAAAAGAGGGGGGGAACCUAAAAAUUGAUUUUGGAAAAUCAGGGAGGGGUUGUUUUACCCUCCAAAAUUGCCGCACCGUGGCGAUAUUCAUGAAUGGAAUUUAAUAGUUAAGGGACUAACGGCGUACAGUUCAAACUGUAAUGCUGUGCCCCUGCACUGUCGGAUUAUGUGGUGUAAUGUUUGUCCAAGGGUUUUUUUUUUGUCAGAAUGCUUAGAGUUUAAGUUAGACAAGCUAACCGGCAAAUUAAUGCGUGAUUGCAGGGAAAACUAAUUAUGCAUGGUGAAUCUUGAUAAAUAAGUUACCUGUGGAUUGGAAAUGGUAAUGUGUUUCCAACAGAAAGUGUUACAUUUAGAUGUCCUCUUAGAGCUUGAACUUUCUCGAAGAACAUUUAUGUUUAUUGAUGUCGUUAAUUGGUGUUUACACACUGUUUAGAAAUGAUUGAAGUGUUCUUACGUAUGGCUGUUCUCAUGACUCUGUUUUAAAAUACUGUAGCUGUCUUCUGAUAUGGCUCUAGCUUCCUUGCUUGUUUUUGAAAUGUUUUUCCUCUUUUCUGUUUUUUUUUCCAGCUUGAUUCUACAUGUUUUACUGAACACAACAAUUUGGAAUAGCCUGUUAUCUGAGUAUGGUAGAAGCAGAAAAAGCCAACUGCAUUGAAUUCAAGUGGGGUAAAAAGAGAGGAGUUGGUGGCAAAAAGAAAGAUGUACAGUUUUAUGAAUCUUUCUUUUAUGAUGGUGUGGACUAUACUCUUUACGAUUCUGUUUAUAUGUACAAGGAAGGUGAGCCAGAGCCUUAUAUUGGUAAGCUCAUAAAGAUAUGGGAGAAUGCUGACAAGACAAAGAAAGUGAAGGUUCUAUGGUUUUUCCGUCCUCGUGAGAUUUCAAAUUAUCUUGGAGACGAGAAGACUCCCAAGAAUGAAUUGUUUUUGGCCUCUGGUGAAGGUGUAGGCAACACAAAUGUUAAUCCUUUGGUAAUCAUUUUAGAUUAUACCUUUUUUUAAUAUAAUUUUGGCUUGUCUUCGGUAGUGACUUGUUAUAUGACUGUAAUGACAUAUGGUUUGGAUGGUUUAUAAAUUUCAAUGGGGGAGUGGAGAAGCUUAGUAUAAAUUUUGUGACACAAUUGCUAUUGGAAUAAUGUCCAUGUUUGGUCAAACGUACAUAAAUAUAUGCUGCAUGUUGAAGUUCUACAUGGGGCACUUUCAUAACAUCAUACUCAUCUAGUUACCUCGUAAGUGCUAAAAGGCAAAUAGGUUUCAUGGAGAAAACAAGAGAAAACUAGAGGGUUCUAUAUUUGCAAAGACAUGUUCAAUUUUUGUUUUAAUGUUUGGGCUCCAUGUUCCUCAGACCUUCCGUUAUAUUUGACACAUGAAGUAGAAUUUGGACAUAACAUCUUUGAGGGGCCUUGCCUGAUCUCGCAUUGAGGGGAGAGAAGGCACAAUGAGGUUUUUUUCCCUUUUUUAAUUCGUUUCUUUGAUUAUGUUUGGGCUUAUAGCAGUCCUCCAUUUUUUCUCUAGAUUGUUUUACUUAGGGUUCUUGUCAAGGAAAAUAAGGUCAUCCAUUCUUAAAAUUUAAUGUAUUGUUUUCAAUAUUUCCUACACUUUUAAUUACAUCUAUUUCAUUCUUAAUUUGUAGCCAAAUCUUCAAUAGGUCCUCUUGGCAUAAUAAGAUGUCCACUGACAAUCAUACAUACAAAAUGUAAUGCUUUUGAAUAGAAAUGAAACAGUGUUAUUUCUUAACACCUUAAAACAUCGUCUUGGGUGUUUUCUGUUAUCUUUUACUGAAAUUUAAGAAAUUUUCGUACUGGACUUCAAAUUCAAUUUUUUUGCAUUGGAAACAUAGUUGGUGCUUUUGAGGAGCUUGUUCUAGUCAGGUUAAUUUCUCAUGCAUCAAAUCAGGAAGCAAUUGCUGGAAAAUGCAAUGUGGUAUGCAGUUCAAAGGAUAGUAGAAAUCCACAACCAUCAGAUGAAGAACUUCAAGAGGCUGACUUUGUAUUUGACCGUGCAUUUGAUGUUGGGAACUGUAGGAUCUUGGAUAAGAUAGAUGAAAAAAUUGCUGGGAUUGAAGGUAUGUGUUUUUUUUUGCCUUUAAUACUCCUGUACUAUUCUUUUAUAAAUUGAUUAAGACUUUAUCAUUACAUUCCUGUAUGUUUGCCGUGUCUUCAAUUGUUGCAGUAAAGUUCUUAUUGAACAGAGUUGGUAAUCAGAAUUCCAGUGGUGUUCCAAAACUUGAUUCAAACAAGAAAGAAGUCAGUGGAAAUGCUGUGGUUACUGAUGACACGAGGAUUUUGGCCAAGAAAGAAUCUUAUCCUGGAGAGAAAGCUGCUUCUAGUUCUGGUGUACAGUUUGAUGAAGUAGCUAAAACAAAUGAAAGGCAGGUAGAUGUUUUUGGCGAGACUGCAAGUUCAAGUUCUAAGAUUAAGGAAAUUUCAGACAUGUAUAACCUUCAUUGGUCAAGAACAAAUCUUCACUAAUAGAAAAUUCUGUAUCUAAUUUAGGCUGGGUUAGGUGAAAUUACUAAAGAUAAUAAAAAGGAAAGCAUAUUGAUUGACAUCCCUUCAAGAUCUAAAGAUGAUGUUGGCAAGAGUGAAAGUAAAGUUGGUAAUGUCUUUGUUGAUCAGGUUUUAGUUGAAGAGAAAUUGAAAGUUGCCAAGGCUUCUGGUGACUUGGAUGACAGAUCAUGUAAGAAAGCAAAGCUUGAUGACUCGGCAAAAGCAUCUUAUGAUAACAAGGUGAAAAGCACACAGAAAUUAAGACAUGAUUCCAAUGACAGUAGUUCCAAGGCUGUGGCUCAAAUAACCCCUGCUGCUGAAGAUAAAUCAAGGCCUAACCUUACUAAAGAUCCCCAGGAGACCAACAAUGCACUUUCCGAGAAGCCAAAGCCUGAUGAGAAGCUAGCUAAUGGCAAGUUUCCUGAAGCAUCUCUAAGACAGCCUUCAGAGGAGGCCAGUAAAACUAACUAUAAAAUACAGGAACCCACUCAAAGGCCAGCAACUGUAAGUUGCAUUGCCAGAAGUCCUUUUUUUCCCUUUAUUUAUCAAGGUCUGUUGCUAAAUAACUUUAAUGUUGUACUUCCAUUUACUUAGCAUCGAUGCUUCUAUUAAGCAAAAAUAAUGCCUUUUGACUUAAGUGAAGAGCUAGAAGGAUAAGAGUACUAAUGCUGAACUGAGAAAAGAUGGAAGACGAACCAUAGGAACCUACCCCUUGAACACAAGGAGUUUUCUUCAACACACUGAAAUACACUUGAGAGUUGAAUCUGAUUCUCAAUGCAUUAUCAUAAAUAGCUGUCCUUAAAAUACCGCUUAAGGUUUUUCAUAGGUACCAACUGUAGAACAGUUCUAAAGAGAGUGGGAAAGAAAUAAAACUUUCUAUGGUUUACUGUUUAAUCAACAAGUUAAAUAACAAACUUCUUAAACAAUAAUAAAAUUUCUAAAGUGAUACAGUUACAGAAAAAACAAACCUAAACAACCGAUCCCAGAUUGCAUUGAGUAGCUUCUGCAUGGUGCCAACUAUAAUUUUUUGGGGUGUAACAGACUACUGUAGUGAUGUUAUAGAAAAGAAAGGGUGGAUUCUGGAAAAAAUAUGUGCUAUAUAUGUUUGAGAUUUGGAUUGCAGCAAAAGGAAUGAUGUGCUCAAGCCUCAUUGGUUUCCUGUAUCUCCUUCAUUUUCAGCUCAUUGAUGUCUUGCAUUCCCUGCUUUUAAUUGUGCUCAUUGACCUCUUAUAGUGCCUGCUUUGUUGUUCUUGAUGAGUAACCUGUGGUGAAAGUUAGAUUUAGUACUUACAUUUUUGUUAUUGAUAUGUUGACAGGAUAGAAGCAAGUGGUUUCGAGGACUUGUGAGUAUUCUUUCUCAAAUUUGUUUCUGCUCCUGAUUUCAAGUGAUUUUACGAUCCCUACAUUUUUAUUGUUGUAUUUUGCUUUCUUUCUUGAAGGACCAUUAAACCAAAGUGAUUUAACCAAUGUCUCUCAAUACUCUUUAAAGGUUUAGAAUUCAAUGCCCACUGACCACAAAAAAAAUCUAUUGUUGGCCGCUUGCUUAGCCUGUAGUCGAAUGGGCUAUCAUAUAUAGGGAGGCUCUAGCCCUAGAGGUAGACUAGUUGGAGGCCCAACCGAUAAAGCAAAGAGUGAUUUAAGCUAGAUGCUAUUGUAGAUUAUUGAUGUGAUAAAAAUUAAGUCAAAAUGGGACACGCUAUAAUAAUGUUUUAAUUGCCUUGUAUAUUCUUACCAGCCAUGGGAAGAAACAAUGCAAACUGCUCAUGAGCAAGGAACUCUUGUCCUGCUACAGAAUUUGGAUCCGUCUUAUACUUCAGCAGAAGUAGAGGUGAUUCUGAUUCUAGAAUUCAUUUUCUUUACUAGCUUAUCCUCUUCCAUCCCUUUCUGUUUCACAUCACAACCAUGCUGUAGUAAAACACUUCAUGUGCGGUUUUCCUACAGUAAAGUGGAUAUUUCAACCCCCACUUCUCUUUCACUCUUGGCCUUUGUUUCUAGGUUCUAUGCUUGCUAUGCUAUUUUCUGUCAUGUUCCAAGUAGUGGUUUCUUCUUGUUACAGUACCUUGAGAAUGCAUUGAGGCUCAUAAUUUCCUUGCCCUGGAUCAGGGUCUCAUUUGGCAAGCCUUCAAGCAAAGUUGCACUGCGAAGAUGAUUCAAAGGACUGCACGUUCCAGCCCUCACUCUGGUACAAAUGAAAGUGGCUAAUUAAUAGUUAAACUUCAUAAAUUUUUUAAUUAAGGGCAUUGUUUUUUCUUUUCAUUUCUUUUUUGUGUCAAUGUGUGGGUGGGGGGAGGGAAUCUGGACACCCUCUAUUCUGCCAUACAAAGAAUCACCUGUUACUGGAUUUUGAUUUUGUUAGUUGUUUAUGCUCUAGGUCAGGCUUUUGUUAUAUUCCAAAAAAGGGAAGUAGCUGAGAUGGCAGUUGCAAAAUUAGAUGAAGUUUGCUUAAUGCUAUCAAAUGGGAGGUAUGUUUUCUCCCUCUUUCAGCACUGGUGCACAUCAAUUAAAUAUUUCCUGCUUAGGGGUUCUACUUUACCAGUAGAAAUUCCAGUCAAAGGCUCACCGGUUUUAUCAAUAUUAAUGCCUCCCUGCUGCUCAGUCUGCAGUGUUCCCCACUGGUUAACAUGGUAGUGUUAGCUUAUAUUUGUUGGCAUUGAAGUGCCCGGGAUUUUUUUUUCUUUUAAUUGUUUCUGUAUGUAUGCAAUGCUUGCCCUGGCCUUCUGGACAUGUAAAGCACUUAUUUUGACAGUUAUGGGCUAAAAUCCAUAAUUUGUUAUGCAUCAAGUCUUGUUAUUUUUUAUAUCUGCUCUGUGAACUUUUAGUUUGCUUGUUAUUUGACAGUUUAUACUUUUUAGAUUCCCACCUAUUCUUCUAUUCAUGUUCAUAUUUACAGGCCUCUGGUUGGUAGCAUUGCUGCUCCUUGUUUCCCAGGAAAGCAGACAACUUUUUUUGGUCAUCUCACUAUCAAUAAACUUAGAAUCCACAUGCAGCGUGAGAUGGUAAAUUUUAUUCUUGCUCUAACCAUGCUUGCACACACUACAGGCAAUGUUUAAGUGUAUAAACUUGUCAUGCUGCUUCCCUCCUCCCUUUUUUCUUCCCAUUGCUGUGAUUAAAAGAUGUUCUUAUGCACAGAAAGAAGCAGUAUCUACUUCACAUUGUUCUCAGCCCAAUACACUUGAGUAUGAAAUGGCAAUGGAAUGGCGCCUACUGCAAGAAAGAUCAGAUCUAGCUUUGAGAAAGCUACGCCAGGUCUCUAUAAUUAAUUCAACUAUUUAUCGGGAUUUAGUAAUCUCUUAAGUUUUUUUAAUAUCAACAAGAAUGCUGGAAAAAAGAUUUUUGUUAACUUUUUUGAAUUGGGCAUUUUGAUUUUUUUUUCCCAGCAACAAGAGCAGGAGUUGAGAAAACUUAGGGCUACAUUGAAGUCUAAAUGAGCUGUGAUGUCUCAGUUUAUUGACACUUCUUGACACAUUUUUCAGAGAAAAGGGCAGGCUAAAAAAAUUGUUUGUUUUGGGUAAGCACUCACAACAUGGAAACACUGUGCCUUCCAAUUAUCUUUUUAGUUUAUGCAAAUAUUAUUAGGCCCAUGCACGUGUUAAUUUUCAAUCUUUGCUCACGAAUUUUAAUUUUUCCUUCUCAAAAGAAAAGGAAAAAGAAAACACCCAUUAUAACCCGUUAGAGGUUAGCCCCGAAAUGGACUUAAAUUCAGUCAAUCAUCAGAAGUUAAAGGGGAGUUCACGUGCUGUGUGAGAUUGUCUAUUACACUGGAUUAUGAGUUAGGUCCCACUUUUUUUUAGCAACUUCUUUCCGUGUUGGAUCCACUUCCUUUUGCGUACCUCCAUAGCCAUAGCUUAGUCUUAUUCAGUGAGCUGCACAGUUGCAUGUCUGCAACUAUUUAAGCUUAUUUUUCCAAUAGAGUGGUUGUGAAAGCAUCAAGAUCAAGAGAAAACAAUUGCCAAUUUUUGUCCCCUCCCCCUCCAAAACUUCUCAUGUGGAGCCCCAUAUCAUCACGAGUUUAUGCCAUUGUCGACGGUCAUUAGAUGAAAUUGGAUCAGUUAAUUGACACGAAUAUGCACUCUUUUCUCUAGUUCCUGCAUGUUGAUUUUGGCAUUUCACAAGGGUAAUUGAUGAAUUCUGAAAUGCUUCUCUUGGCGACUUCUUUGCAGAAUGGAUGGAAUGCAUUUGGAAAGCCGGAACUCCACUGGUUAGAUAACAAGGCACUAUUUUUGUUCGCGCGCCAGUAAAUGUGCUAGGCGGAUCAGUUUCGGGCAUUGUUGGAACAUGGAAAUCAGGUCCCGUUCACAACUAUUUUUGUCGUUCACCUGAUUUACAUAUGAUUGAUUUAAAUGUUACCUUUACCAGCUUGGAGUUUUGUAAGUUACCUCGGUAACUUUUUUUGCUCCAGUGGCUGGGUUACAUCAGGUGGUAAUUCUUCCUCCCAGUCUCUCUUAUCAUGCAUGGGUGCCAUUUUAUGUUUGGUCUCUUGGUCCAUUACCUAGCGACUUGAUGAGCAAACUAAUUGCCAUCUGAAAUUCCUUGUCUGUUUUCUUCCUUUUGGGUUUCUUACUGGUUCUAUACAUUAUGACACCAUCCCAUUGCCCCUAUUGUCAUAGCCUCUCAUGUUUCAUAAAUUGCAGAUGUUCUAGGAAAGAACAGUAGCCUGAUAAUCCGUAAGAGAUGAGCUCACGAACCUGGCUUAGUUGGACCAAGCUAACUAACCGCACAAUCAAUAAAAAUUAUACUUGAAAAUAGAAAAUGCUAUGGGUCCAUGUAAAAAUUUUCGUUCGCCUGGGAUGUUGACUAGGCUUUUAGUCUGCUAAGUUAUCAAUCAAUUCGAUGCCAUUUUAGAACAAGGGUGAGGGAGUGGUUCUUUCUUCACUAAAACGAUGCCAUUUUGGAACAAAGGUGAGGGAGUGGUUCUUUCUUUACUAAACAUGGGAUUUGCUUUAAUGGUUCCUUUAAGAGUUGCUGUAGAAAAUCCAUGGGAAAGGAUUUAGGUUUUGGCAACAUUAACCUUUUACCUGCUUCACUCAAAUUGGCUCGGGGAAAAAGCAUGUCCAUUGGUCGGGGUUCAAUUGACGUUGGCCCUUGUACAACCAAGCAAAAGGAAUAAUAAUUUAUUUGAGUCUUGUUUCUCGCAAUGAUGUAUCCACCACCUUGGCCGAAAGCUUGAGACUUGGCUUUUGCGAUAAAUUGGGUAAUUAUUACAUAAAAUAUAAAUAAAUAUUAAAUUAAAAUAUGGUGAGAUGUUUUUAAUGAAAUAGCAGUUUGAAGAUGCAAUUUAAAACAUUUUAGAACUGUUACAUUUGACUAAAUAUUUUGGUUUUAAAACUUGAUUAAAUAUUGUGGUUAUGAACUGUGAUAUAAAUUAUAAUUUUAUCACGGUUUAGAAUUGUGAUAUUUUUAAAAAAAAUAUUGGGGUUCAAAUGACAUUUAGACCCCGUUUGUUUGCUGGAAAGUAGUUUCUUUUUGGAAAGUGAAUUCUGGAAAAGUAUUUUUCAAUGUUUGGUAAUGUAAUGGAAAAUAAGUUGGAAAACACUUUUCGGUGUUUUGUUAUGUCAUGGAAAAUAAGCUGUAAAAUAACUUAUUAAUAUUUUAUUUUUCUCAAGUUUAUUAAAAUAAUAAGGAACAAAUCUUACAAAUUAAAAAGUUAAAUGAGAAUGAAAUUGAAAAAAAAAUAUAAUUUCAUAAAUUAUCUCAAAUAAAAUAAAUAAUAAUCAAAAUAAUAGAGAUCAAAUCUAAAAAAUUAAAAAAAAAAAAAGAUGAAAAAUUAAAAUAAUAAUAAUCAACAUUUCAUAAAUUAUUUCAAAUAAAAUAAGUAACAAUCAAAAGAAUGAGGACCAAAUUUGAUAGAUAAAAAAAUUCAAUAAAAAAAUGAUAAGGAAAAAGCAAAUAGCAAUUAUAAAAAUAAGGACCAAAGUUAAUAUAAAAAUAAAAUUUUAAGAGAUGGAGUUGAAAAAUAAAUAUUCAAAACAAAAUAUAUAUAGCAAUUAAAAGUUUGAGGAUCAAAUUUGAUAUAAUCAGCAAAUAAUAACAUUUCUAAAUUUUUUACAAUUUCCGGAAAGUGUUUUCCAUCCAAAUUUUCCAAGAAAACACUUUCCUGAAAACCAAGCCAAAAUUUUCUUUUACUGGAAAGUGUUUUCCGUUGACCAACUUUUCUAAUGGCAAACAAACACAAGAAAGUUUGGAAAAUGAUUUCCCGGAAAUCACUUUCCGGAAAACAAAACAGCUAAAGGAAAACACUUUCCUGAAAACCAAGCUAAAUUUUUCUUUGACUGAAAUAUUUUCCGUUGACUGGAAAAUGUUUUCCGGUUGACUAGAAAGUGUUUUUCGUUGACCAACUUUCCUAAUGGCAAACAACCACAGGAAAGUUUGGAAAAUGCUUUCCCAGAAACUAGUUUUCAGGAAACAAACAUGGCCUAAAUCAAAUAUUGUGGUUUAAAAUUGUGACAUGUGUUAGCAUAUUGCUUUGAAAAGUAGAUUGACAUUUUAGAAAAUGUUCGGACAGUAGUCAAAAUGGUUCGAUUAUUUUGAUAAACGGUUAUACUGUUCUAGCUACUGUCUAAUUUUGAAAAUUUUGUGCUUUGCGCUUGAAAAUGUUUAUAAAAUUAGUUUUUGUUAAUUUGAAACUUAAUUUACUUUAUGAUUAUAGAUAGUUAAAUUUUUUACAAUUUUAACAAAACUUGGACAAAGUUUUUUCUAUAUAGUAACCAUAUCAAAGUUUCCUGGUUAAUUUUUUUUUGCAAAAAGCCAUAAUAUCCCCACUCAACAAAUUAUAACUAAAUUCAACAAAUUUUCACAUUUUAUAAUCAUAAGUAGUCUCAGGAAUGUAAAAUACACACGCACGCACACAAUGAAUAAAAAAUAAUUUAAUAAUACAAUAUUCAAGUAGUCCUAAAAUAUAUAAACAUAACUAAUCUAUCUACAUCUAUAUCGUUUACUGGAUGAUUUAGGCUCAUCAAUAGCACAAAUGGAUCCAACUUUUACACUUGCUUGAGUGACUUUGUUCUCUAGCAUGACAUCGCCAAUAGUUAACCUCUCUUUAAAGGUAUUAAGUUUAGUGUAACAAGUAUUUAACUACUUGGAUGUAACAGUGUGAACUUUGCUUUCUUUAUCAGUAUUACAAAGAUAAGACAAGACCUUUUGACCGUCCCGUAGCAUGAAGCCACCCUAAUAUUAAUAAAAUAUUAAUGUUAAAUCAAAAUAUCAAUACAUAAAACCCAAAGUUUAACAAAUAUAUGAAAAGAUUUGAUUACUUAUAAGAAUUUAAAUUUGCUGGGCAUGUUGCUCAUACUGUAUGUAUCGAGGUGGAGGAACUUGCUCGAGAUCCAAAGUAAUGACUCUGACGUGUGAUACUCAUGUAUCAAAUCAUAUAUUUUUCAUUUGUAAUCACAUGAUACAUCUUUGUAAAUAUCUCAUUUCUUUAUGUAUCUCAUUAUGAUACAUAAGCUCCAUGUUGGCUGAACCAAUUAUAAUUAUCUUUUUUACAUUUAUGAGUUAUGGUGUGCAAUGCAUCACUUGUGUCGAUGUCACUUGAAAUGUGUUGUCUGUAGUAGAACUCUUGCAUUACCCGGUCUAGACAAUGUAGCUCGACCAUCUUAAAAAAUAUCAGUGAGAUCAUUUUAUGUCCAUAUGUUCAUCCUGCUAAUGCAAACAACUAGAGUAACUACUAGUCUUUCAUUCAAAUAAGGCGUUCACAUGACAUGCAGAAUAUAAAUUUUUUAAAUAUUAAACAACAAUAAUUCGGUGAACUUUAAUGAAUUUUAUUAAACCAAUGAUUGAAAAAAAAUACUUGGAUGACAUGCUACUUGUAUAGCUCAUUCCGAUAAAAUCCCAACACGUGUUAGAUUAUUUUCAUAUACUUUAUCAGCACACUACCUAUCAUUAAAAAUAUAUCAAUUUAAUUGCAUUUUAUAAAGUUACAAUUACACAAUACAAAUACAUAUAAUUGCAAAAUAACAUCGCAAUACCUGCAUUUGAGUGAGAGAUGAAGUGUAACCUCCAUAGUCUGGAUAGUCAUAAAUGACAAUUAAGGUAUCCGUGGUCUUCCCAUAUAAAGAUGUUUCUAUGACCAUAAAUGUUAUUCAAUAAAAAUAAUUUUGACCCUUUUCAUGCAUGUAAGAUAUAAAUGUAUGUACAAACAUGCUCAGACAAUAGAUCCCCAACUAUAUAUAGGGUGGGCGUCAAAAUCAUCUAGAAGCAUUAAAUAAAUUAAAGGCAUAUAUUUAUCUAUUAGGUUAGUGAAUAAUGUACUACCAAACAAAUAAAGUAUAUAUGCUCUGACAUGCAUAUAUAACAUAUUAAGAUUAUCAUAAUGAUUCAUGCAAACUUAACAAAUAAUCAACAUAUUAGAUUCAUAAUUUAUUUUGUAUCUCUGUAGGACCUCCUCGUUUGCAUUGGUUGGUGAUGUCAUAAAUGUCUCAUCAAUCCACUUAAGAUGUAUGCUAUUCUUUUUAAUUUAGAAGGGGGUGCUAAUCCAAAUAAUCGCUUGUAUAACACAAUUCUAUUACAAACACUUGAAGAUGUGAUUGCUCAUCUAUCAAUGGGUAGUCCAAGCAAAAUCACCACGUCCUAUAGUGUCGAUGUCAUCUCUCUAUGCCUAAGAUGGAACGUGGGUGUCUCAUGUCUCCAUCGUUCAAUCAAUGCAUGGAACAAGUCGUGAUCAAGUUUGAUAUAAUUUAGACAACUGAUGUACAAAAAACUUAUCUGAAACAUUUUGUUGGACUCGGUCAUCUAGUCUCAUCUCCUUGUUUAUACGAUAAUAAAUAAUGGUCUCAUCCUACAUAAUAAUUUAAAGUAUAAAUACAUACAUACAUAACUAAAUUCAACAUAAAUUAAAAAUAUUCUAAAAUUAAAAACUAUUACAAUGUCAGUGAAUGCAUCAUCUGAUUGAUGUUGAUCUUGCAACCCCAAGAUAUAAGUGUCGGAGGGUUUGGUAGGUAUGUACUGUGAUUGAUACUCUCAAUGAUCAUAGUCAUGCUCCCUUUGCUCAAAGCGAUGCUUUGUAUGUCAAUACUCUUGUUCUCCUAGAUUGUCGUCAAAAAAUAUACACUCAGCAUAAGCAUAACAAUCUGUCAUCUCGAGUGUGCAACAUCCUAUCAAAUAAUAAUUGUGAUUGAUAUGAGACUAUAUAAGUUUAAUAUGCAUAAAAAAUAUAAUAAUAUAUCAUAACUUGAUAAAAAAUAAUAAUAUAUAUUUUGCAUACAAUUGUAUUGUCAUACAUACUUUAUUGAUUAGAACAUGUUUUUUCUAUUAUGACUUGUAUUAUUGUAUACGUCACACUUAUAAGGUGCAUGACUUUCUCUUGCAUCCAUCUCGUUGUGCAAACGAGUUAACAUUCAUUAACCACGAUCGAAUUUUCAUUUAGAUAAGUAUGCUUCAACUUUAGGUCUAGUGUGAUCAGUCCAUUCUAACUCGUUUGGUAAUGGAUGAAAUGACAUGUCAUAUGUUGAUCUAUAACUCUAAAUCAUGUAAUGAUCAGUAAUAAACUAUGUGAAGUCUAUAUGAUUCUCGGUGCACAACAUGUCAGAACAUGUAAACAUGGUCAUUGAAAUGUCUACUAUUUACCAUAUGUGCAUGUUAUAUCAUUUUAAUUGAUUGUUGAUUUAUAGCUUUAAAUCUUAUAAUGAUUAUCAACAAACUGUUUAAAGUCUAUGCGAUUCUUGGGGCACAACAUGCAAGACCAUGUGAACAUGGUUGUUGGAAUGUCUGCCAUUUUACCAUAUGUUUAUGUUUUAUCAUUUAAAUUGAUUGCUUGUAUAACUUUAACAACACCUAGUUUGAUAGGAGUGUUGAUGUAAUAUCUCACAUCGGCGGGUAAGGAGUUGGUAGCUAGUCUUAUUAGUAGCGCUGGUUGCUAACUUGUUAGAUGUGUUUUGGAGCCAUGCGUAGUCAUUAAGAACAAAUCAGUGAGGGCGGUAAGGCCUAAAACAGACAAUAUCUAGCAGGUUGGGUCGGGCUGUUAUAUUUGGUAUCAGAUUCGGCCUCACUAGUUGUUCGGUUGUGUCGACGGGGUAGUCGGGCUCCUUGAAGAGGGGUGGAUUGUAAUAUUUCAUAUCAGCGGGUAAGGAGUUGGUAGCUAGCCUUAUUAGUAGUGCUAGUUGUUGACUUGUUAGACGCGUUUUGGAACCAUGUGUGGCCACUAAGAAUAAAUCAGUGAGGACGGUAAGGCUCAAAGCGAAUAAUAUAUGACAGGUUGGGUCGAGUUGUUAUAGCUAACCUAGAACACUUCUUGCUUGGAGUCAAAUAACAUUGCAAUAUGAUCUCUUGAUCUAUCCCUACUUACUGUUAAUUCAAUCUCAAUUGUCAAGGUCAAAUAUUACCACGUUGGAUUUUAACAUUAGCUUCACAACUCUGCUUAACCCAAUAACUAUUACACCUGUCAAAUGUUAAUUGUAUUAGAGUUGAAAUAGACAUUGCACGAGCACCUUUCAAAAUAUGAUUAAAUGAUUCUAAAAGAAUAGUUGUUAUAUUACCAUUCCGAUGAACUCCAUCAUAACCUAAAGCCUGUAUUUUUUUUGUUCUCGUUCAGGCCAUUUUUUAUAUGACGAGUCUAACAUACAUAUUCUUUCAUACCACAAAUCAAAUUUGAACCUUGAAGGUUCGUAACACAUCCUUAUCAAAUCUCUUUUUGUAGCUGGGUCAUUUAAUUUAUGAUUGAAAUUAAUAACAAAAUACCUGACACAAUACCGAUGGUAUCCUUUAGGUUCAUGCCAAACUUAUGCUACUCCAUUCUUGAUGUCUGCAUUUCUAUAUGAUAUUAUAAAUAUAUUGAUUCUAGCACUAGUAAUGUAUUUUUAUAAGCAAAGCAAAAAACAUCUUCAAUAAAAAUUAUUUUCUUCAUCAAUAAUUAUAAAAGCUAAAGGGAAUAACCUAUUAUUUUCAUCAAAAGCAACUGUAAUCAAUAACUUUCCAUCAUAUCGCCCAUAUAUAUAUGUGUCAUCAACAUUGAUGAGUAGUCUACAAUACUUGAAAUCUUCAAUAUAAGAUUCAAAUGGCCAAAAUACUCUUUCAAAAAUUAUUGUACUAUCAUCAAGAUUUUCUUUAUGCAUUAAAUCAACAAUUAUUCUAGGAUUUGAUUCCUUUAUUGCCGAUAACAACCUAGAUAAUUUUUCAAAAGAUUCCUUAUGUGAACUAAAAAGAUACUUAAUUACCUUUUGUUUUGUAACUCAUGCUUUGUCAUAUGAAACUUUAUACUUGUAAUGUAAUUUUAUUUCAUCUUAUAUGCUUGCAAAUAUCAUUGAAAGCUUAUUCGUCACAAGGGUUGAUAUAGCAUUAGCAAUAAAAUUUGCAUUAAACUGAUAAUGGUUUUUUUUUUUUUUUACAAAGAUCGAAAUACAUUUGUGUCGUUCUUUUAACUUUGGUAUCUCAAAUAAAUUCGAUCUUUAAAGAUACCCUCCACACAAAUACCACUUACAUUCAGGUGCUUGCUUACAUUGGAACAAAUGUAGAGUUCGAGUGUUGGACUUUGUUUUUAAGUGAAUGUGCAAUGUGUCAUCAUUUAACUAUAUUAACUAAUUUAUCUUUACUAUUGAAUGUUUAUCCAACCUCUCACUCAGACCCUCCUAUAUGACUAAAUGCCUAAUCAUUAAAAUCACUAAAAAUAAUAAAAUUAGACCCACUAACUCUCCAAAUUCAGGAAUAUGAGGUAUGAUUUCAUCAUCAUCAUUUAGCAUCACAUUUGAGUCUAGUGUCUAGGCUUAGAAUAGUCAAAUCUAUGUUAAUCAACAAAUAGAUUAUUAAACAUAAUAUCAUCUAUCAUUUGCAGCAACUAUUUUUACAUGUACUAACUGAAUUUGAAGCAUUGAUAGAAGUUUGAACAUACACAGAUUUUAAUCGAUUAUUCACAUAGAAUAUAAAAUUCAUUAACUUAUCAAUAAUUUUCAAUGAAAUAUUUAAUUUGUCAUGAUUUUACUACAUUCAUACUUUUAUCUAUAAAAUUAUCAAGCAUAAAUAAUUACACUAUUAAUUAAUUCCAACCACACAUCCAAAAUUCCUUCGAAUUAACAUCAAUUCAUGUGGUUGUAUGGUCCUGAUGGCAUCAAUUUACAUUGAAAUAUAAGAGAAUGUUGUACGGUGGAAAUGGGUAUAAUAAAAAUGCUUCCUUGGUCUAGUUUCUUUUAAUUAAUUUCCGAAUGGAGCCUUGACGGCUGAAAUAAUUGAGGCAAUAACGUUUGAACAUGAAAAGCUCGGCCCUUGUACUGUUUACCAACAGCUCAAACGCACAAAAAUGCCUCGUGAACGAGAAAAAUAAAAUAAAAUAAAAUAAUAUUUAUGAGCUAUGUUUGUGCCUACUCAUUCCAACGGGAGGUGUCCUUUUAAUCAUUAUUAUAUUUUAAAACGCUUUAAAGGAAGAUUACUUUAUGAGCUGGUACACUUCUUAUGUGUCAUCAUUUAGAGUUUGAAUAUUGGUAGAACUUUCUACUCGUAAAAUAAUUAUAUUCUCCUAAAUACAUUAAUAUUUAAAAUAAAUAAAUAAGUUUAUUCUUUAUAUAUAAAAUCUUACUCAAGAAGAACAUCUUUACUGUAAUUGUUUUUUUUAAAAAAAAAAACCAUCUAAGAAAUAUAAUUAAAAUAAUAAGAACAUAUGGGCUGGCAAGCAUUCUGUCUUCACCCGGUUAAAGUUUUAGUAUUUUUUAAUAUAUUAAUAUUAAAAAUAAAAAAAAUUAUUUUAAUAUAUUAUGAAAUAAUAAUAAAAAAAAAACAUAAAAAGGCACAAGGAAACACCACUGCUUAACUGCGUGCUUCUAAAAACCCCACCAAACGACAUAGUUUCCUUUUUAAAAAAUGUGACCGUUAAUUUAGAAUACAAUACAAAACAAGCACACCUGUUCCUCCAAACCCAGCGAGUACUCCCCAUUCCCCUACUCUCCUUAAGUACCCAAAACGAAUCACACAAGAAGAGAGAUAAACUCCCUGCUCUUCUCUUUCUUCUGCAUACUCUUCACUGACCCUCUCUCUCUGUACUACCUUGUCAGUCUCUCUCUCUCUCUCUCUCUCCACAUGCUCUCCUCCAUUAUUAUGAACCUUUUCUCUUCCUUUUAGAAACCUGAACUCAUAUUCUUGGUUUCUUGAACUGUAAUGGGGUGUGCACAGUCUAAGGUGGAUAAUGAAGAACCGGUUUCAAGAUGCAAAGAGCGGAAAAUCUUGAUGAAAGAAGCAGUCACAGCAAGAAAUGCUUUUGCUGCUGGGCAUUCAGGAUAUACUAUUUCCUUAAAGAAUACCGGUGCGUCUUUGAGUGAUUAUGGCCAUGGAGAAGCUGAUCAAGAAUCCCAGUUUCAACAGCCUUCUUCCCUUGACUCUUCAUCUCAACCGCAGCCUCCACCACCUCCGCCUCCGCCGCCGCCGCCGUCUAUGGAUAAUUUCCCUCCACCUCCGCCGCUGCCUGACUUUUCUCCCAGUCCGAUGAAAAGGACUAUGAGCAUGCCUGAGAUUGUGAUGGAAAGGAAGGAGAUGGGUGAAUCUGUUUCGAUCGAGGAGGCGGAGGAGGAGGACGAGGAGGAGGACGAGGAGGGGGAGGAGUUGCGGAAUAGGAAUCUUAGUAGAAAGACCAAGAAUUAUGACAAUAUCGAAAAGGUUUCGCAGCGGGGCCCGCAAAGUAGUGGGAAUGUGGGACCUGGGGAGGAGGAUACGCGGCCGAGGACUCCACCAAGGACGGUGGAGAGUCAUUCCUCGGCGGUGCCUCCGAUGCCGGAGGCGAAGAACUUGGCUUGGGAUUAUUUCUUUAUGAUGGAUAAUGUGCCGGAUUCGUCCUUGGAACCAGAGGAGGAUGCGAGUAGGAGCAGGGGUAAUUUUGGAAAUGUUGAGCAUGUGGGUGUUGGGUUCGGCGGGGUUGGGGGUUUGAGGGGUGGGGUUGAUGGUAGUGGUAAUGAGAUUGAUGGGGUUGAGCCAAAGACGCCGGAGAAGGCGGAGGAGAAUAUGGAGCCUGUGGUGAAAGAGGAGAAGGGUGGGGAGAAGAAGGAAAGGAAGCAGAUUGAGCAUUCGAUAACAGCCCCACCGGAUUUUAGGGCGGUGGGAAGGAAAGUUCCUAGUGUGAAUUUGAUGCAGGUUUUGAAUGAAAUUGAUGAUCAUUUCUUGAAAUCAUCAGAAAGUGCACAGGAUGUUUGUAAGAUGCUCGAGGCCACCCGCUUGCAUUACCAUUCUAAUUUUGCCGAUAAUCGAGGUAUAAUUGGCUUGCAUUGGCUGCUUGUGUUUAAAUUUUUUGUUUACUUGAUGUUGUGUUUUGAUUAUUUAACAUGUGGAUGCUUAACUGUUUAUGUUUUAAUAGUAAUUUUACGCACACUUGAAGUUUGCUAACCAUUUUAUAAUUAAGUUUCUAAAAUGUGUAUACUUGUUGUUUGUGGAAAACUGAAGCUGAAAGCAUCUGUGCUUUUAUUGAAUGAUAUAUAAUUUGUAGGCAUUUUGGAUUUGUUAUUCUGAACGGCGGCAUCUGCUUUUUACACCAGUUGGACUUUGUUAUGGCAUCUUCAUCUUUUGUGGAAGCUUUUUUUUUAGAACCUCAGGCUUCUUAUUGGUUUUUUUCUUUUCAAAAGCAAGAAAAAGGUUCAUUUAUCAACAAUACUAGAGCCCCCUUUCCAAUCACUUGAAAAUUAUGAAAUACUGAUGUGCUGUGCCUGUAAAGAAGUUGGAAGCAUAUUAUUACUCUGCGAAGAUAUUUCCUUGACAUUUUUGUUUUCCUUUUGUAAUUUUUUUGUUUUUACUAGUAUCUUUAUUUUGCUGAUAUGGUAUUCAACAUUUGCAGGACAUAUUGAUCAUUCCGCUAGGGUUAUGCGUGUUAUCACUUGGAAUAGGUCAUUCAAAGGUGUACCUAGUGCUGAAGGUGGAGAGGAUGAACUUGAUUCUGAAGAUUAUGAAACUCAUGCUACUGUUUUGGAUAAGUUACUGGCAUGGGAAAAGAAACUUUAUGAUGAAGUAAAGGUGUGCCGCAUCAUUUAUUAGUUUGAUUUCUUAUGUUUGCCCGUCAUUUUGAGUUUCUUGUCCCAACUAUUAGUUGUGCUGCUCAAACCUAUCAGAAAACGGUCAGUUUCCUUAUAUGAUCAGAUUAAAAGUCUAAAGUUUCUAAACAGACUCUUAUAGAUGCGUGACACUUUCUUGUAAAUCUCAGCCAUGGUGCGAAGCAAAUUUUUUUUUCUUUUGUUUCCAUUUGUUUUUCUGGGGCAAUGUUUAUUUCAUUCUGCUAUUGUCAUGCGCUGGGGUCUUAGUGAAGUUUGCUUAAUGUUGAUUAGCAAGGGGAGCUUAUGAAGCUUGAGUACAAGAGGAAGGUUGCUUUGCUAAAUAAGCAGAAGAAACGUGGUGCUAGUGCUGAAUCCCUGGAGAAAACAAAAGCAGCUGUGAGUCAUCUUCAUACAAGAUAUAUAGUUGACAUGCAAUCCAUGGACUCAACCGUUUCAGAAGUGAAUCAGAUACGUGAUCAGCAGUUGUAUCCAAAACUCGUUGAUCUUGUUGAUGGGUAAGCUUUUGUUCCGAAAAAAAUGAAAAAUUGAAAUUAUACUUUUAUCUGUUCUAGUUUCCUGACAUAUAUCCCUCAAAACUUUAUAUGGUUGAUUUGUAUUGCUUGUUUUUCUUUAUAAUUCAUGCCAAUAAUCUGCAUACCAGCGCGUUUAUAAAGUGAACACUCUAUAUCCUGGCUAGAACAAGAUUAUGUGUGCAACAUUAGCUACUUUCUUGUUUUGCUCUCCUAAUGAAGUGGGCUGUAUGAUGUGGACUGAAAAGUUUGACGUCUUAAAAGUUUGACAUUUAUGAACUGUUUGGUGGACUAGAUAAAAACCUGGAUUUGAUUAUGUUCCUUUUAAUCUUUAGGGGUGGGGUUUCAUCCAAUACUGCCAUAUAGAUGUUAAAUGCUGAACCACGUAUGAAUUUGCCCAUUGAUUUGUUGUUCUAUAGCUAUCUAAUCUCUAAAUGAGGCAAUAAUAGGUGGUGCGUGUCCCAUCAUGUUGGCUACAUGCAGCUUCUUCCUUUUCCCUGGUAUUCUUUACUUUUGAAUUAUCUUAGUUUGUUAUCGCAAUACCACCAAGUCUCAGUAUUCUUUAGCUAGGUGUCUGAAAGGUAGUUGUUUUUAGUCAUGGGAGAUUGAUCUUAUUGGAGAACCCAACAAAAAGUAAUGCCAUGAUUUCAAUAAUGAUGGCAUGCCAUUUCUCUACUUAUUUACUUGUAAAACUCUGAAUGCAAUACUGCAGGAUGGCGAAAAUGUGGGCAAGUAUGUGUAUGCAUCAUGACAGCCAAUUGAAGAUUGUCACAAACCUUAAAUCCCUUGAUGUCAACCAUGCAAUCAAGGAAACAACCAAACACCAUCAUGAGCGCACAAUCCAACUUUUGAAAGUUGUCCAAGGAUGGCUUUCACAUUUUGAAAAGCUUGUGACCCACCAGAAACAAUACAUUCACACUCUUACUAGCUGGUUAAAGCUAAAUCUGAUCCCCAUUGAAAGCAGCUUAAAAGAGAAAAUAUCAUCUCCACCAAGAGCCCAGAAUCCCCCUAUCCAAGCCCUUCUCCAUUCAUGGCAUGACUAUUUAGAAAAGCUUCCAGACGAGCUUGCCAAAUCUGCUAUCUCAUCAUUUGCAGCUGUGGUAGAAACCAUAGUACAUCAUCAGGAAGAAGAGAUGAAGCUAAAGGAAAAGUGCGAGGAAACCAGGAGGGAGUAUUUGCGCAAAAACCAGGCAUUUGAGGAAUGGUACCAAAAAUACAUGCAGCGGAGAACCCCUACCGAUGAAACAGAUGCUGAUAGAGGGGAAGAUGCAAACCCCAAUCCUGUUUCUGAGAGGCAAUUUGUAGUAGAGAGUUUGAAGAAGAGGCUGGAAGAGGAAAUAGAAGCUCACGGGAAACAUUGCCUCCAGGUAAGAGAGAAAUCAGUUGGAAGUCUUAAACUCCGCUUGCCUGAGCUAUUCCGUGCCAUGUCAGACUAUGCUCAUGCCUGUUCUGAUGCUUAUGAGAAACUAAGGUCCAUCACACAGUUGCAGAAAUCAGAUCGUAAUCGUGCACAAUAAAGUAAGCUUUUAGUUAGCAAAAUACUACUUAAGUUAAUCCUAGCCAGAUGUUGCACAAAUGUACCUUUUCUCCGAGACAGUCAGGUCUUGUUGCGAUUGGCUAAUGUUAUUUUUGCUGUUUUGUGAAAAAAUUUUGGUUUUAUAUUCCUCCAAAUGCAUCUAUGCACCCAGGGAAGGGGUGAUUCUGUAGAAGAACACAAGUUAUUUCAUGUUUAAUAGUCGCUAAUGGUGAAUUUGAAGGACACAUGGUUACAAUUGCCUCCUGCUUCAGUGACCUUUCAGGGUUCUGAUAUGAUAGUAUAAUACUGUUAUCUUGCCACCAUGUGCAGCUAGUAACUAAAACACCACAUUCCUAU